rnacentral:lncRNA from 1 species
ACAAGCCAAAAACAACUUGAUUUUGCUGCCAAAAUUCCAAAUGUGAGAUACCUUUGUACACCUCCCAAAAUGUCCAUUUCUGAGAUUGAACACACCAUUGCACUACAAUCCAGUGUUGAUUUAGUGACCAUUGCUCAAGCCAUGCACUGGUUUGAUCUUCCCACUUUCUACCAACAAGUGAAAUGGAUACUGAAGAAACCCAAUGGAGUAAUUGCUGCUUGGUGCUACACUGUACCAGAAGUCGACCCACAGAUCGAUUCUGUGUUUGGAAGAUUUUACUCCGUCGACAGUGGUCCGUAUUGGGAACAAGAACGAGACUUGGUUGAUCUUAAAUACAGAACCAUUGAUUUUCCAUUUGAGCCAGUUGAUGGAGUCGAUCAUACUGGGCCAUUUGAAUUCAAGGCUGAGAAGUUAAUGGAUUUGGAUGGAUAUUUUACAUAUAUAAGAUCAUGGUCUGCCUACCAAACUGCCAAAGGAAAGGGUGUGGAGCUAUUGACUGAUGCUGUUUUAGAGGAUUUUAAGGUUGCUUGGAAUGCUGAUGGGAAAAGCCAAAAGAUUGUCACUUUUCCUGUUUAUUUGAGGAUUGGCAAAGUUGGGUUAUCAAGUUGAAAGACUAAUCGUCUAUCGUGAAUGAAAUUUGAUAGAGAAUGGCAUCUUUGUAAUAAUCAGUUAACUUCGAUGAGUAUUUCAAUGCUCAAAUAAAAUAAGUUCCUAAACUUAGAAGUGGUGCCAACCAGAUCUAUACUCGAUUGCAAUGGCAGUGAACAGAUUGUAAACAUCUGUAUUUAUCAAAGUGCUUCCUCUUCGUGCUGGUUUUAUUAUCCACCGAAUUUUUAGUAUAUGUACUCAACAAGCAGCCUCCCAUAUUUAUUGUAAGGAUUUUAAUUAUCUUACUCGACUGUCAAUUUCACAAUCAAGUCUUCAUGACAUUAAAAAUCACGGUUACCUACACAGGUACAAAAUAUAUAAAAUGAAAAAAAAAAAAAAAUUGCUUAAAGAAUUAAAGUCUUUGCAUCCAUUCUUUCACUGCACGAUUGUUCUCUUGCUUCUCUUCGUUGUCCAGAAGUAUAUUUCGAACCAGGGUCAUGCUUGUUUCGAGCUUUUUCAAUUCCUUUUCUAAGCCCAAUGCUAAUCCAAAUCUGGCUCAGAGCACAGAAUCCGAACUUCAAAACAAGUCUUUUGACAAAGCUGAAGAGAAUUUGCUCUGCUAUGUUCAGUUAUAAUGCAAAAAACUAGACAUCAGAAAAUUCUGAUUGACAAAGGCCUUCCCUCGAAUGGAGAAAAACAUUAGAACUAUAUAAACUUUCACUAUAUGAUAUUUAUUAAGACUUUGGAUAGCUAACUUCUGCAAUUUGCAGUUUAACUGAAAAAUUGACUAAGGAAGGUGAGGAUUGGCAGAUGCUUUUCAUCUUAGGCAAGUGGAGCCUUGUUGAUGUCAACUCUACACAAAGGAGGGACUGUAAGAUAACAAUGUCUAAUAGAGGAGUCUUUUUUAUAAUAAUUUUGAGAUCUUUUUUCCAUUCUCAUUGUCAUAUCAGCUUGAAGAUCCAACUCAAAUAGAUCAUUAACACUCGUUAUGUCAAGAGAUAAUGUCUAACAAGUGCGAACUUUUUAUUUUUAUUUUUAUUUUUUAUCUCUCUCUCUCUCUCCCUAAAGGACUUCUUUACUGAGCAACAUUGUAGAAUUCGACCCCAUUUGGUCGUUGAAAUCAAUCAGAUUUGAGCACUCUCCCUACUGUAGAGGCACCUUUCAUCAAAAGAAUACAUGUAUCCAUCUGAUAUAUUAACCCAAUUAUUAUUCUAAGCAACACUUGCAUUGACUAAUUUGGCAGUGUUGUGAUUCUACUCAGGUGGUUCAGAAUAAAUGUGGUUACCCAUAAGUUAGAGUGCAAGGUGUAGACUCAAUUUAGUGGUGCUCUCGAGUUCUAGACCAUCUUCCCAUCUUAAAAAUAAAUAUUUAGUAUUGAUGAUGUUAGGUCAAAUUUGUAAUUAGGAAUUUCUAAAUUUAUAAUUGGCAAUUUUCGUAUUCAAAAUCAAAAGUUAGUUGAGCUGUAAUUAAAGUUAAAAUCAUGGUUAUUUGAGCUGUAAUUAAAGUCCAAAAAUGUCGUGGUUGGUAGAGUCCUAAAGUUAAGCAACGGAACAACCACUGCUCGCUUGGUGCUCGAGCAAUAUAUCAAUUCAGCUAGAAUCCUGAAUCGAUUUCAAUGUUGGAUUUCAAUCAUAUUUCACCCCAAACACUUCCAUUAUGAGUAUACAACCCAUGGAAUGUCCAAAUGUGUGGUUGAACAUUAUAUUCAUUAUUGAGAUCAUUUUCUAAAGAUCAAUUGCUCAUUCCAAAAGAUCUCUUGAUUCAGUCACAUCAUAUUCCUAUAUAUUGUUCCAUCAUUGGUAGAGCCUUGUUUAAAGUCAAGAGAUUAUCCUUUCAAAUCCAAACAUAUAUUCCAAUGUAUCUUGCAUCAGCCUACGGAUCCAAACAUAGAAAUGCCAUUAGAUCAAUCACCAAAAAGACCUGCCUUUAUUUAUAAGCCUUCAGAUUUUUGAAGUUGAGAGAAGAGGAGCUUAGAGUUCUAGCACUCUGGAUCGAGUUCGUUCUUGGUUAUCCAAGUAGAGAGAAAAAAACCCAAAGUUGCUAGAAAGUGCUAGUAGCACAAUCAAAGUUCCUUGGUGAUUUACAAGUUAGGUGGCGAGAGUCAGCUAAGGUUUAGUAAUGUUUGAACUAAUUAUAAGUUAACUUUUCUAGUGGAUUUUACUAGCAAGUUUGUCGGAGGCUUUUGAUUCAUAUGAAGAGUUCUUCUAGGGAUUUUCCUGUGUGAUCAAUUCUUGGUGUUAUUUACUUUAUUGCUUUUGAUUUGCAUGUUUACUAGUUGACACAUAGGAUUUAAAUUGAAUUUAAACUUAAUCGUGUAGAAACAAUAAAUAAGUGACUUGUUAUUAAUUAACUCUGCACACUUGGGUCUAAAUAAACAAUGCUAACAAGUAGUGUCAAAAUGUUAGUAAUUUAGCUAUCUAUUUAAUUUUUCAAUUGGUAUCAGAGUGCUAGCAUUCUUUGUUCUUUAGGCGAUAAAAAAUUUAAAGAUCAUUUAAAUAAAGUAAAUGGCCUUGGUGGUUAUGUAAUUUGAAUUGAUAGUUUAUUGUAAAUACAUUGUAAUACAAUGAUCAAAUGUUGAGCAUGAUACAAGAAAGUAAAUUGAACUCUCUAUUGAACUCAAAACUUCAUAACCAACAUGGAAUCUACUUCAAAAGAUAGACAAUAAAUAUUCUCCAUAUUAUUAUAUUCUAGUUAAAGGAAGCACUCAAAGGUUAAAAAAUCCACUAACUGCUAAAAUUGUUCUUUUGUCACUUCCACAAAAAUAUUUAUUGCUUUUUAAAUUUACAUUUCAUUAAUCACAUUUUAAGUUUAAUAUUUCAUAAAUAAAGUUAUAACAAUUUAUUGAUAAAUAUAUAUUAAUAAUCAAUCACUAAUUAAAUUAAUUAUCGCCAUUUAUGUUAGUACUGGAGAGAAAAAAAAUUUCAAAAUAAAAAUUCAUUAUUCAUUAUCUCUAUUCAUCCAACAAGAGAGAACCCAACUCCUAUUCUUAAACCAACACUAUGACGUUCGCCUGAAAGGGUAGCAAUUUUUCAGCCUCUAUCAGCAGUGAUAUAUUUAUUUAUUUUUUUGCCUGGACUCCUCCCUACUUCAUUCAUUCAAAUACCUUGUGUUGUAGUUCGAGAAUUUGUUGAACCAUAAACUUACAACCCAAUUCAUAAUUGGUGUUAACAAGGAGUGUAGAUCAGGAAUCUCGUUUGAAGGAUGAUUAUAAGGCUAGAAAAACACAGGAUAAAAGAAAAAGACCCAUAGCACAGAAAGAUGUUCGGGCAAAAAUUCUCAACAAACCCAAUUCCAGUAAAAAAUCUAGUUUGAAGAAGGUACAUCAAUUUGGUUUUAUUUUUUGUUGUUUAAUGCAUUCAUUCGAGUUUAUGAGAAAGUCUUAUUUGAAUUUUAUUGGGUAAUUAUGAUUUUCAUAAUAUUAAUUAACUGCUAACCAUAAUUGGUUCUUCUAAUAGUGACUUGAUUUUGUAUUGUGACCAUGCCUCUCUAUUAUUAUUAUUAUUUUUUUUAAAAGGACCGAAUGUUCUUCACUUAUUUUGUCAGUUAGUGUGACUUGGCCUUUGCUUUUAUUGUGACCUAAAUGUUUUGUGGGAUUUCGAAGACUAUGACCUAGUUUUAUAUUAACAUUAUGUUUGUCUGAAUUGAAUCUUGUGAUCGAUGUAUAACUAGAUAUGUUGAAAGGUAACAUUUGAUGAAGAAUGAUAUGGUUGGUGAAGUCACAUUGUUCUUAUAGUAUGUCUUGCUUUUUUGUUGUGUCAAGAAAUUUUGCUAUUAUGACUUUGUUAUUCGAUAAGUGUGUUUUUGCACACUUACUUAUCACUUAAACUAAACUUAUUAUUGAUUAAAUGAGUUGAUUUUUACUCACAAUUGCGUAAUUUAUGCAUUUAUAGGUAAAAAUCACCAAAAGGAAAGAGAGCAAGAUAAAGGAAGAGAAAAAAGAUUGAAAUCGUACAAAAAUCAUGAAGUUGGGGACCAAAUUGAACAAGUCAAAAAGUUGAAAGACUUCAUUUGCAAUUUUGGAAGGCCAAAUUGAGAGGAAAGUAAAAAUCUUAGGACUAUAUCAUGAAAGAUCAAAGUGGAAGGACCCGAUUGCAAUUUAUAUAGGGACUGAACUACAACUACUCGAAACCUAGGUCGGACGCGUGCCUUAGCCUCUUUUAAGGUUUACUGAGGGCAGCUGAAUUGUUUUGACCCACACCUCAUGUACAGCUAGGCAAGCGUCUGGUUCGGAACCUGGGACAAUUUUAAUAACUAAAUAAAUAAAUAAAUAUAUUUAUUUAUUUUUGGAAAAUUCUAAUGGCCCUUGUUGUAAUUAAUCUUGCUUGAUUUCAGGGUUUUGACACGUGCCUUAGCCUCUUUUUAUGGUUUGCUGAGGGUAGUCGAAUUGUUUUGGCCCGUACCUCAUGUUCAGCUAGGCAAGUGUUUGGUUCGGAACCUGGGACAAUUUUAAUAAUUUUUUUGAGUAAAUUUAAUUAAUACUCACCCAACUUUAACCAAUAUUUCUACUUGCUCACCGAACAAUAAAUGAUAACGUGUUGCUCACCCAUCUGUCUAAUUCAUUACUUAUUCAUUACCCAUUUAACUUCUGUCACCCUCCACUAACAAAACAUGUCACGUGGCGGAUGGAAAUUUGAUGUGGCAAAAUCAGGCCAGACAUGGACAAUUUUUCAGAAACACGUCAACUACCUGCACCAGUCAUCCUUCUCCUCUCCUUUGCAAAUGACCAACCAAAAACACACAAAAAUGGUGACAACGAGUGGAACGUGAGUCGGAAGUUCCACCACAGUCAGCAUUGCACGCUACUUUCUUAACAACAGUGGGAACAACAAUGAAGUAGGAAUAGCAACAGCCAAAAUUCACCUUCCAUCGUCUAUGGCCGUACCAUCGUUACCCUCACCGUCAAAUCCUAGAGAACCCAGAAAUCACCCCCAAUUCUAGCUUUCAUUUUUUUUUUGGGCUACGAAAGUGUUUAAAGUUUGUGUUAUUUCAGUCAUCACAUGAGCUGAGCAUUUCAAAUGAUCAUUCAAAUUGAUUGAAAACAGUCGAACUGUUCCCAUACAUCAAAAUCGAACUGGGAAAUUUGAAGUCCAAUAUAUUAGAAGAAAGUUUUUGUAAUGACGACGUUCAAAAUUCACCACUCUAAUCUAAUGUGUUGCUUCCAUCAAUUUCUCAUUGUUCUUCUUGCCUCCUGUGAAGAACUUGUACCCUCCAAAGAAAAGCAAACCCCAUCUAGAUAAGGAGACAAUCACGAAGUGCUCUUCCUUCCACUUGGAUGGACUCAUCGGGUCUUUCCAGAAAUCAACCUUAGGUGGCCCAUGAUGAUCAGUGAUGCCAGCGAGGCUACGACAGGAAUCAUAGAGGCGGACCGAGCGAAGGUUGCUACUCGGCGCGCUGUUGUUUUAGCCAAUGAAGUAGCCAUGGCUUUGUGCUUUUUCUUUCCAAGAUGGAACGUGCGUCAAACAGCAAUUCUAGCUUUCAUUUUCUUGCCACAAUGUACCAAUUAACGAAGCAUCCCGAAUUGAAACCCAAAUUCGUGAAGAACCCUAAAAAUUGCCCCCAAAUUCGCCUCCAAAUCUGCUGCACUUACUAGGUUGUAUCGAGGGUCCAAGAACUGGAGGAAGAAGAUGAAGGUCCGGGAGUGGCUUUCUACACUUUUGUCCCAUUUCAUAUGUGAUGCAUCACGGUGGUAGAUUUCUUUAGUUUAAAGUGACGGAAAUCAGAUGAGUGAUCAAUGAGUAAGCAAUUUGAUAGAUGAGUGAGCAAUGAGUAAUGCUUUAAUGUUUAGUGAGCAAAUAGUAGUAUAAUAUAAAGUUCAAUGUGCAUUCAUUAAAUUUACUCUUUUUUUCCGAAAAAUUCUAAUGGCCCUUGCUGCAAUUAAUCUGGCUUGGUUUCAGGGUUUUGAAGGUAAAAAAUUGGCAGCCAGUUUUUGUUUUCUUUUCAUUCUUCAUUUUUCUAUCUUAUUUUUCUCUUCAUUUUUGUUGAAUAAUCGACCUCCAAUUGGUGAAAUUUCGGGCUCAGGAUACCAAUCUCAACUUUAUCAAUACACCCAAGCAAUCACAACCCAAAACUUUAAACUUCUUUCACAUUCUAGUUGCUCAAGACUUGUACCCACUUAGAACACAAAGGGAUGGUGUUUACAACCACAAAGGCGGUGCUACAAAGGCUAGAGAAGAACAAGAGAAAAACCAGCACAAAGCAAGGCACGAACUUUUUCUCUCAAAACACAAAGGCAAAACAAACGUGAAUGAUAGAAGACCAAGGAGGCUAGCAUAUAUAGGUUAUGUUAGGUCAAAGUGGUGGGGCCAAGCCCAAUACAAAUAUCAAUAUGUGGGCCAACAUACAUAAGCCAUCCAAUGAGUGUGAAACCGGGUCAUGAGCAACACUAAUUAAUUAUGUUGCUCUCAUUGGCCCAAAUAAUCUUAGGGUCGGGUCAUCAAUCUUGGGUGUCAAUAUUUAUUUUUAUUCAAUAUCGGUUUAACAUCAUCGUCCGAAUUAUUGGGUAUCAAAACCUAACAAUUUUCACUUGUAAUUUUUGGAGAAAAGCCAAGAGCACAAGGAGAAUCUAUCAAACGAGUUUGAAAAAUGUUGGGAAAAUCAAGAGCUAGCCAUUAUUAUCUUCACAAAUCCAACCAACAAGCAUUUUUUCCAUUGUUUGGCCAAAUUUGCUAUGUAUUGCGAUAAAUAUUCUCAUUUUUAUCAUUUAUAUAACAUAAGCUAAAUAUUUGCGUUGGGAUUUAUGGUUGAAGUUUAACCUAGCUUUAAUUAAUUUCAAUGUUUACUAUUUAAUGUUAAAAUUACUUAUGAUCAUGUGUUUUUAUUAUUGUUAUUAUUGCAUUUUCAUUUAUAUGGCCAAUAAAUGAUUGUGUUUAAUGAUUUGUACAUUAUUCAAGAGAAGAUUGUAUAUUUUAGACCAAAUAGUAGAAAUCUCAGGUUCUUGUACAAAGGGGUAGAGUUUACUCCUAACUCUAGGUGGCUCAUUGAGUUAUUUUUACAAAAAUUUAAUGUAAUUGUUUGGUUUUAAUCGACAUAGAGAUAUAGUUAGUCAAGCCAAAAAUUGAGAAAUUGAGCCUAAUAUUGUAAAUGAGUAAUUUAUUAAUUGACUUGUGCAGACAUUAAUUAGGCCACGGUUAAGCGACAACAUGAAUCAGAAUCACGUUUUCCUCCAAAUUUUUACAAGUGUUUAUGUUUUCUUAGUUUGUAGAGUUUUAGUUUAAUUUUCCUUAUUUUCAAAUCAUAAUAUUAAUUGUGUGUGUUUAGUUUUAUUAUUAGAAUUAAAUUAAUUGAAGUUGUGUAAUUGAAAGUAAACAUUUCUCGAAUAAUUGACAAUUCGGACUAAAAAAUUCAAUUUAUACUUGAACGUGACCGUACACUUGCGGUUUGCACUUUCGUAGUGAAUAUUAUUAGAAAUAGUUUUAUCAAUGUUUUUUUACACGUUUAUCUAUGCAUGUGACCUGCAUGUUGUUCCAGUAUUUCAGCCUUUUUAUAACCAAUGCGACAAAGAAUGUUUUGACUAAUUUUACAUCAAAAUUCAAUGAUUCACAAAGGGAGAUUUUGAUAGGUACGUGUUUCUCCUAUCAUAUGGAUUGCCAUGAAAUUGUAUCAAUCACAAUUGAUACAUUACUUUAUGUUAACGGAGGUUAAGCAACUGAAUCUCGAGGGGGUGUGGUUCAAGAUUGAGAGAGAUUUAUCCCCUCUUUUUUCUUUAGUUCUACUUAGUUACAGGACUUGAGUAUAUUGGCGACGAUAAUAGAAAGAAACUUAAAUCAAUACCAUCAAGUACAAAUGACAACUAUUUUAGUCAACAAAAAAUUGUGACAAAUGAAGGCGUUAGAGAUGUGUUUCUUUUUCUAGUAGAUGUUCGAUAUACUGUAUUUUAUAAUAUUGUUCCUGUUCUCCACAUUGUAUAAGAAGGUGUUUGAGCAUUAUUUAUUUGCACUUGUUGAAGAUUAAGAUGUCAUGGAGAUGUUUUCGUGGGGGGAAAGAAUUGUUUGAGAUGUUUAUAAGUUAUGUGAAAGAGGGAUUGAGCAAUAAAUCAACCCAUUAUAGGCCUAAAGGUUUUCUAGUAGCAUUUCAAGUUUGGUUAUACGAAUCAAUUCAAAGUCUAGUAACCACAACAAUGAAAAGUAGGUACCCUCGCAUCAUGAGUUGGAUAUCGAAUAAUCAUCCCCCAGAUGCUAAAUUGGAAGAAGAGUUCUUUUCCAAUCCUAAUGUAAGUGCUUAAGUAUCUUUGUUAUUUGAGAUAGUUUUCUUUAUGUUUUUUUUUUAUCUGUUUUAUCUAUGUAUGUGACCUGAAUGUUGUGCCAGUAUUUGACCUUUUUUAUCAUUUUCUAUUCGAUAUUGGCGUACGUGUUAUUGAAUAUUCUAUUACAGGAUUGGCAAUACAUUAUCCUUGAAGACCUUCGGUUUUCGAGAAAAAUUAUAAUCAAUGCGGUAAAGAAUGUUCUAACUAAUUUUGCAUUGAAAUUCAAUGAUGCACAAAGGGAGAUUUUGGUAGAUACGUGUUUCUCCUAUCAUAUGGAUUGCCAUGAAAUUGUAUCAACCGCAAUCGAUACAUUACUUUAUGUUAAGGGAGAUUAAGCCACUGAAUCUCGAGGAGGUGUGGUUCAAGAUUGAGAGAGAUUUAUCCCCCUUUUUUUCUUAUGUUUUGCUUAGUUACAAGACUCGAAUAUAUUGGCAACGAUAAUAGAAGGAAACUUAAAUCAAUACCAUCAAGUACAAAUGACAAAUAUUUUAGUCAACAAAAAAUUGUGACAACUGAAGACGUUAGAGAUGUGUGUCUUUUUCUAAUAGAUGUUCGAUAAACUGUUGUUUAUAAUAUUGUACCCGCUCUCCACAUUGUAUAAGAAGGUGGUUGAGCAUUAUUUGUUUGCACUUGUUGAAGAUUUCGAUGUCAUGGAGAUGUUUUCAUAGGGGAAAGAAUUGUUUGAGAUGUCUAUAAGUUAUGUUAAAGAGGGAUUGAGCAAUAAAUCAACCCAUUACAAGCCUAAAGGUUUUCUAGUAGCAUUCCAGGUUUGUUUAUACGAAUCAAUUCAGAGUCUAGUAACCACAACAAUGCAAAGUAGGUACCCUUACAUCUUGAGCUGGAUAUCAGAUAAUAAUCGCCUGGAUGCUAAAUUGGAAGAAGAGUUCUUUUCGAAUCCCGAUGUAAGUGUUUAAAUAUCUUUGUUAUUCGAGAUAGUUUUCUCUAUGUUUUUUUUAUAUGUUUUAUCUAUGUAUGUGACCUGAAUGUUGUGCUAGUAUUUGAGCCUUUUUAUCAUUUUCUAUUCGAUAUUGACGUACAUUUUAUUGAAUAUUCGAUUGCAGGAUUGGCAAUACGUUAUCCUCGAAGAUCUUUGAUUUUCGAGAAGAAUUAAAAUCAAUGCGGCAAAAAAUGUUCUAACUAAUUUUGCAUCGAAAUUCAAUGAUGCACGAAGGGAGAUUUUGAUAGAUAUGUGUUUCUCCUACUACAUGGAUUGCUAUGAAAUUGUAUCAAUCACAAUUGAUACACUACUUUAUGUUGAUGGAGGGUCAGCAACUGAAUCUCGUGGAGAUGUGGUUCAAAGUUGCGGGGAGAUUUAUCCGAUUUUUAUUGCAUGAGUUCUGCCGUGUUCUCCACGUUGUACAAAAAAGGUGGUUGAGCAUUAUUUGUUUGCACUUGUCAAAGAUUUUGAGGCCAUGGAGAUGUUUCCGUGGAGGAAAGAAUUGUUUGAGAUGGCUAUAAGUUAUGUGAAAAAGGGUUGAGCAAUAAAUCUAUCCAUUACAAGCUUAAAGGUUUUCUAGUAGCAUUCCAGGGUUGGUUAUAUGAGUCAAUACCAAGUCUUAAUGAUCUAUGACCACAAUGAUGCAAAGUAGGUACCCUGGCAUCAAGAAUUGGAUAUCGGAUAAGCAUCCCUUGGAUGCUAAAUUGGAAGAAGAGUUAUUUUUUCCCCAAUCUUGAUGUAAGUUUUUAAAUGUAUUUGUGACUAAUAUAGUUGCAAUGUCAUUCAAAAAAUUCUAUUUGCUAUGCUAAGUAUUUUUAAUGCUUUUAAGGUAAUAGAUUGAAGUAAAUGGAAUUGAUCCGCUGGGCAUGGAUAUGGUGAUACCAUAUAUGAGUGGUGUACCACACACCAAAUCACAACCACGACAUCUUCCAUGUGAAGUGCAUUUCCAGGAGAAUUUAGGUCACAAUCACUUGAGUACUCAUGCAGGCACAAGUGCAAAUGUUCAAUCAUCAGGUCAGAAAUCUACAACAUUGCUGCUACUGAAUAUAGGUAGAAGAAUGCGAAAAUCAAAUGACAUUGAUGACGAAUUUGUUAACCUCCCACUAAGACGCUAAAAGACUUCAUGUGGUGUCCAUUCUCCAAUGGAACCACAAGCAAUACAUUGUGUUGAGGGUUCAUUAGAGAGAUAGAGGUUUAAGCAACCACAGAGAUGGCGGAUAACACAGCGGAUGAUACAUACUUGGAAAUAACCGGAUCAUUUGAUAACCUAAAUCCAUGCUACUGGAGAAAGUAUUUUGAUAGAUAUUUGAGAAAUUCAAAAAGGAGUUCAAUAUCUAUACAAUUAAAAAACAUAGAGUUGGUGAUGGAGCUAGAUGAUGAAAAGUCUCAAAUAUUAGCAUUGAAAUUGGAUAGAAAUCAACAAAUGAAUGAUAUUAUCCGCUCUCAAAGAGAUGUUAAAUUUGAUUUCUUCGGGAGAAGGUCGAAUAUGAACUAGUUUAAGGAUUCUGUGAUUGCUAUCGUAUCAUGUUCUAUUGAGGAAAUUCUAAAGAAAUGACUGAAACAAGUAGAGUGCAAAUUGGUCGAUAUUCUGAAAAUGUUGAAGAAGUAAGUUUGUGAGAUUACUAAGCUUUUUCCCGUUCGUUAGUUUAAUUUUGACAUUUAAAUUUUUGUUGUAUAGAAGAAUAAAACAUUAGAAAAGCAAGAGUAAGAUGGAAUCUGAUAACGAACCUCCAUAUCAAGAUCUUAUUCAAACUCCUUCAUUUGAUUUAGGUGUUGGAUCCACUUAAAUGCCUAUGAAUUUAGGCGAGCUGAGUGAUCUGUUCACAGACAAACAAGUCCAACAAGAAGUAGGCGAUGUAAUAUCCCGAAAAUUCAUAAAAUAGAAUUUAAGUUAUGUGUGCUAUAUUUUAAUAUUUCCAAAAGUUAGGGACUAAAAUGUAUAUAGCAAAUUUCAAUUUCAUUUGGGUUAAAAUGUAGAUAUUGACGGAGUAAUAAUUUGUAUAUGAAUAUUGGGCGCGUUGGAUAGAUCGUAAUUAAUCAUGCAUGUUAGGCUCAAGAAAAAGUUGAUUUGGAUAAUUUAAGCCUAAGAUAUUGACAUUUAAAGAAAUUGAUGUUUUAUAGUAUUUUAAUUAAUUUAAUGGGUAAUUGUCUUUGAGCCUUCCACUUGGUUAGUGUUAAAUCCAUCCUAAUCACAAAUAAUAUAUAUUAUAACUUUCCACCACUAGCCACGUUUCACGUUGAUAAGAAAUGUUUAACUGUCUUCCUAAAUUAUUUGGAUAAGUUUAUCAUUUGAAGCCUUUAUCCAAGUUUCUUGUGGCACACGUUUUCACCACUCUAGAAUUCUAUUUGCACCAAAAUACUCCACACAGCAUAUGUAUAUGUAGACGGCAGUUUCAAAUUGGGAAUUGUUUCCAGCAUAAAUAAUGAACAAAAAGGGUCCCGAAAGGCAAUUUUCACUCUAAGGCAGCCAAGAAAGAACUACAAGAUUUGGAACAUAAUUUUGGAUUUCUUCUUUCAAGAAUUUAUUCAAUCUUACGAGGUAGGAUUACGAUGUGCAAGUGGUUCGUCUCGUUUAAAUUAUUUAUUCAUGUUGAUAAAUGUUAUACUCAUGAAAGUUAUGAUAUGAUUAUGAUAUUUUGAAAUAGCAACCCGGUACCAAAGAGAUGAUAUGAUACGACAUGAGCUCUUACCGGUUCUGAAGAUAUGAUAUGACGAUUAGAACGGGUCGUUGGUUGGCGAGCGGUGCGGUGGAAUUGUGAUGCCAGAAAUUAUGGAAUUCAAGAUAAAUAAAUUCUGAGUAACAUGAUUAGGAAGUUUUAUUUAUUUAUUUUUCUUUGCGUUAUUUCAAUUUUAUCAUCAUGUUAAAUUUGAAAUUUAAUGUUUGAAACAUGGUUCAGUUAAUUAUGUUUUCCAUAGAAUGUUUGACAUCAUUUAUUUAAUUACGAAAUAAAUGUUUUUGGUAACGAUUCCAAAUCUUUAAAUUUUGGGUCGUUACAGUUUGGUAUCAGAGCAUAGGUUUAAUUUCCUGUAGAUAAAUUUAUAUAUAUAUAGUAAAUGGAGAGACGUGAAUAGUGAUUGUCAUGGUUCACAUAUCACUGUAUAAUGUGAACUGUGACAUAACUGUUAUGAUUAAAAGUGCUUUUCUUAAAAAUAAAGAAAGUAGGUAAUGAAAUUUAUAAUCUUUAGGUAUGUUUGAAUUGACUGUCAGAGCCUUCCUUUAAUAUUGAUUUAAUAUACUUUUAUCUACAUAAAAGAAUUCAAGCAAAGAACAAGUGGUUAAAAAAAAAUUUUUUUAAAUUCUGGAUUCAGGUAUAUAUAUAUAUAUAUAUAUAUAUAUAUAUAAAAUAACUAAAUGAAUAAAUAAAUUCAAAGGGGUGUUUGAGUGUUUUGUUUCACGUUUGGUUAUUACAUAAAGUUUGAAGCCUAUUCUUCUUUAAUCUAAAAGUGCGAAAUAGACCCAUUAGCUACUUCUAAAAUAAUAAUAAUGAAAAUAAUGAAAAUAAAUAAGUAAAUAAAAUGAAAUAAAAUAAAUUUUGAAAAUUAUUUUAAAUGAAAAAUACAUAUAAAUAUGUAUAUGUAUGUAUGUAUGUGUUCUAAAUGUCGUGUGUAAUGAAUAUUUAAUUGUUAGUUGUUUAAUUGAGUAAUGUUAUAUAUAUAUAUAAUAUAUAUAUAUAUAUAUAUAUAUAUAUAUAUAUAUAUAUAUAUAUAUAUAUAUAAUUGUGACCAAAUGGGAAUGUAGAAUGAGAGCAAAAGAUGUUAAUGCCUCAAAAGAUAAAAUAGGAUUAAAUGACAUGUUUAUAAUUUUUAAUUAAUUAUUACUGAUUUUCAAUCGCCAUGUUAUUUUGAUUCUAACAUGCUAUGUCACCUGAACUAAAUGAUGAAAUUGCAACUACAGAAAGUUUUAAAGAUUCCUUGAUUGGUGUUAUUUCAAAUAAAUUUUCCAAAAAUCCCAAAUGAUUUCCUUUUUUUUUUUUUCUUUUUUUUAUCUUUUUUUUUUUUUUUUUUUCAACAUAGGCAAGGUCUCAAAAGUUUAGUUGGUUUUAAUUAAUCCAUUAAUAGACAUGAUAUAAGAAGACUAUUAGGUAGAUGUAACUAUUUGAAUUAAGUCAAUAAUGCAUCAUUAAACUUGUAACCGGCCCAACUUUCCGUUUUAAGAAUUAAAGAAUUUAAGUUUAAAAAUUAAUUAUUAUGAUAAUAAGAAAAGUUUAGUCGAACUUAUUGCAUUUGCUAGUAUAUAUAUAAACAUUGGAUUUUACACGUUUUAAAUGUUACGUGUAAUAAAAUGUUUAAUUGUUUCAUUGUGCAAUUUGUUAAAUGUUAAUAUUUUUAUGAAAAUUUAUGAAUUUAACGAUAAUAAUAAUUUAAAGUUAUUAAAUAUGUGAAUGAUCUUUGGCACUCAACGACCAUCAAUCAACCACCCUCCAACGACUCUAAGGUAUGUAAAAGAGUAAGAAAAUAAAUGCAGUUAGAUGUUUUCAAUAAUUUCAAUAUUUUAGAUUGCCUACUUCUAAAUCUUUAAGACAUGCACUUUAUUUCCCACUAAAUUGAUGAUAUGUAUUACGAUAAAAAUAAGUAUAACGUGAUAGACUUAGUGCUGAAAUGUGAUCGUAACUUCAUAUUAAAUUUUAGGAAAUGGCACCACCUACUCAUACGAAUUUGAUGCGCAAUUUACUACGAGCCAUACAAGAGUUGAGCAGGCAAAAUCAAGUACCUCCACCACAAAAUGUACCGCCACAGCAGAAUGCACCACAUUUUGCCCCUGGAGCUGUCUCAGUGGUUGAGCAGUUUGGUAGGUACAAGCCUUCCACUUUUGACGGUAAUUCUGAACCACUGGUUGUCGAAGAGUGGAUAAGAGGCCUGGAGCCCAUAUUUCGACACAUUGCUUGUGCGGAUGCACAGAAAGUAUUAUGCGCAGAAUUUAUGUUGAUUGGAGCAGCUGGUCACUGGUGGGAAUCUGUUUCACGUACAAGGAUGGAAGAGCAGCAACGUAAUCUGACUUGGGAGCAGUUUAAAGACGAAGUGAUGGCAAUAUAUUUCCCACAGGCUUUGAGGGACUUCAAGGAAUCAGAAUUUCUGCAGCUCAGACAGGGAACAUGUCACUUACUGAUUAUGAAAGACAGUUUGAGCAGCUCUCAAGGUAUGCCCCGCACUUGGUGGAUACAGAAGUUAAGAAAAUUAGGAGGUUCGAGAAUGGACUGCGCCCUGAGAUCGGCAUGAUCAUUAUGUCCCAUCGUUUCACCUCAUAUCGUGAAAUGUUGGAGAGGGCUCAUGCUAUUUCAUAUCAGAGGAUCUCAUUUGAACAGUAUGCCCAGCAGAGCAAGGAGUCGUUGGGGAAAAGGAAGUGGAGUGAUCAAGGUAAGAACAGACAUAACUGGCACAAUAAAAGGCCAAGCACAGGAGUUCGUAUUGGUGGGACGAGUGGGAGUAUUACACCCUAUCCUAAGUGUAAUAAACUCCACAGGGGUGAAUGUUUACUUGGGAAGAACAUGUGUUUCCGGUAUGGUAAACCCGAACACAUUGCUCUCAACUGCACAGAGCCUCCAAAGAGGAAAGAUGAUGAUCAAGACAAGAAUAAGAAAGCAAAGGCUCGAGUUUUUGCACUGAAUCAGCAUGAGGCGGAGCAGGAUCCGAAUGUGAUUGCAGGUAUCUUACUAUUAAUAUUUUCAACAUACGUGCUUAUGUUCUUUUUACCUAUGACCAUACAUUAUUUUAUCUCUGUCCCUUAAUUGCUAGUCUAACACUAUAAUUACAAACAGGUAUUCUGUUAUUAUCUAAUGUACCCGCUUACAUACUUUUUGAUUCUGGGGCUACCAAUUCUUUUAUCUCUACAUCCUUCGUCGCUAGGUUAAACCUUGCAUGUGUGAAAACGAAUUAUGAAUUAGAGGUUGGCAUCCCUUCAGGAAGAACUCUUUGUACAAAUCGGAUGACUAAGGCUAUAAAGUUAGAGAUUGAUGGGAAAAUAUUACAAGUAGACUUAUACCUUUUGGAGAUGAAAAAUUUCGAUGUUAUUUUGGGCAUGGAUUGGUUGGGACUUAAUCAUGCGACCAUUCGAUGUCACGAGAAAGAAGUAUUGUUUCACAGAUCGGGAGAAGAAGAAUUUCGUUUCUUUGGAGCAAAGUUCAAGUCUUUGCCUAGUCUUGUAUCAACUAUUCAAGCGGAAAAGAUGUUGAAAAAAGAGUCAUGUCAAGGAUUUCUAGUUAAUAUCACCAGUCCCCAACAUCCAGAAACGACUGUUAAUGAUAUUAACAUUGUGCAAGAUUUUGCAGACAUAUUUCCAGAAGAUUUACCAGGCAUUCCAUAAGAUAGGCAAGUGGAAUUUACAAUUGAUUUGGUUCCUGGAGCAGCACCAGUAUCCAAGGCCCCGUACCGAAUGGCAUCGAAAGAACUUCAAGAAUUGAAGUUACAAUUAGAGGAGUUGUUGGAGAAAGGUUUCAUUCGACCAAGUGUAUCUCUUUGGGGAGCUCCUGUACUUUUUGUGAAGAAGAAGGAUGGAAGUAUGAGGAUGUGCAUUAACUACCGGGAAUUAAACCAUUUGACCAUAAAAAAUAAAUACCCGCUGCCAAGAAUAGAAGAUUUAUUCGACCAGUUAAGAGGUGCUACAGUGUUUUCAAAGAUCGACUUGAGGUCAGGGUACCAUCAGCUGAAAAUUAGGGCAAGUGAUAUACCAAAAACUACUUUCAAGACUCGUUAUGGACACUAUAAAUUCACUGUCAUGCCUUUUGGUUUGACCAAUGCUCCAGCUGUAUUUAUGGAUCUCAUGAACAGAGUGUUUCAUCAAUACUUAGACCAAUUCGCCAUAGUAUUUAUUGACGACAUACUCGUGUACUCCAAAGACAAGAAACAGCACGAGGAACAACUCCGAGUAGUACUUGAAACCUUGAGGAAUGAGAAAUUAUAUACCAAAUUCAAGAAGUGCGAAUUUUGGCUUGAUCAUGUAGGUUUCCUUGGUCAUGUGGUCACCGCCCAAGGAAUCGAAGUAGAUCCUACAAAAGUAGAAGCAGUAACAAAUUGGCCAAGGCCGAGCAAUGUCGGUGAAGUUCGCAGUUUCUUGGGAUUGGCUGGUCAUUAUAGAAGAAUCAUUGAAGGCUUCUCAAAAAUAGCAGGGCCGAUACCCAACUGACGAGAAAGGGGCUGAAGUUUCAGUGGACAGAAAAAUGUGAGAAAUGUUUUCAAGAACUCAAGCAGAGACUAGUUUCAGCUCCUGUAUUGACGAUACCAGAUGGCUCUGAUGGAUUUGUGAUUUACAGCGAUGCCUCCAAACAAGGUUUAGGCUAUGCAUUGAUGCAACAUGGAAAAGUGUUUGCUUACGCCUCGAGACAGUUAAAGCAGUAUGAACAAAACUACCCAACACACGAUUUGGAGCUUGCAACAGUAGUUCACGCCUUAAAGAUAUGGCGUCAUUAUCUCUAUGGUGGGAAGUGUGAAAUUUAUACAGACCACAAGAGUCUCAAAUACUUUUUCACAUAAAAGGAACUGAAUAUGAGGCAGAGGAGAUGGUUGGAGUUAGUGAAAGAUUAUGACUGCACAAUUCAUUACCAUCCGGGUAAGGCUAAUGUAGUUGCAGAUGCCUUAAGCAAAAAGACGGGAGCGCAGUUAGCAGUUUUACCUACGGUGCAAGAACACUUGAUAAGGGACUUUGAGAAACUAAGAUUGGAAGUUAUCACACCGCCAACUCAGACUACUGCAAGAAUAAGAGCAUUUAUGAUUCAACCAACUCUUCGGGAUCGAAUUAAAGAAGCACGGGAUAAGGAUCUGUUUUUACAGAAGAUUAAAGCUGAGAUUGGUACAAACAAGCGUAUAGGAUUUGAGGUAUCUGUAGAUAAAGUAUUGACUUUUAAAGGAAGGUUGUGUGUACCUAAAGAUGAAAGUAUAAGAAAUGAGAUAUUGGAAGAGGCUCACUCUACUCCGUAUUCCGCACAUUCAGGUGGUACGAAAAUGUAUCGAGAUCUCCAAGAUACAUUUUGGUGGAGAAACAUGAAGAGAGGAAUUGGUCUAUUCGUUGAAAAAUGUAUUAUCUGUUAACAGGUCAAGGCAGAACAUCAAAAGUCAACAGGGCUACUGAAACCGUUGGAUAUUCUAGAAUGGAAGUGGGAACACAUAACGAUGGACUUUGUGGUAGGCCUCCCGAGGUCAACAAAAAGUCACAAUGCUAUCUGGGUAGUGGUGGAUCGUCUAACAAAGUCAGCCCAUUUUCUACCAUCAAAGUAAACUUCAACAUGGAACAGCUCACACAGUUAUACAUCAAAGAGAUUAUCAGAUUGCAUGGAAUUCCAGUCACCAUUGUUUGAGAUAAAGACCCGAGGUUCACAUCUAAAUUUUGGAAAAGCUUGCAGAUAGCCAUGGGGACGAAACUGAAAUUUAGCACUGCUUAUCAUCCUCAGACGGAUGGACAAUCAGAAAGAACCAUUCAAACUCUGGAAGAUAUGUUGAGAGCAUGUAUUCUGGAUCUUGGAGGGAGUUGGGAAAUACACCUACCUUUAGUAGAGUUUGCUUACAACAAUAGUUUUCAAGCCACUAUAGGUAUGGCCCCAUAUGAAGCCCUUUAUGGUAGAAAGUGCAGAUCCCCUAUCCAUUGGGACGAGGUCGGGGAAAGCAGAAUUUUGGGUCCUGAAAUCAUUGAACGAACAGUUGAGGCAGUUGAUAAAAUUAGAACAAGAAUAAAGGCAGCACAAGACCGUCAGAAAAGUUAUGCUGACAGUAGAAGAAAAGAUUUAGAAUUUCAAGUGGGCGACAAGAUUUUUCUAAAGGUAGCACCAAUGAAGGGUAUAUUGAGAUUUGGAAAGAAAGGGAAGUUGAGACCAUGAUUUAUUGGACCUUUCGAGAUUCUCUAAAGGAUUGGUGUUGUAGCUUAUCGACUUGCCUUACCACUUGAACUUGCAGCAGUGCAUAAUGUAUUCCAUGUUUCGAUGCUUAGAAAAUAUGUUCAUGAUCCCAAUCAUAUGGUAAGUUACCAAACUUUGGAGGUACAAAAAGAUCUAUCAUAUGAAGAAAUUCCAACGAUGAUUCUGGAAAGAAAAGUACACCAACUCAGAAACAGAGAAGUUCCCCUGAUCAAAGUGCAAUGGCGAAAUCAUGGACGAGAAGAGUCAACAUGGGAGAAGGAAGAAGAGCUUAGAACCAAGUAUCCAGAGCUCUUCGAUUAGCCAAGGUAAAUUUUCGAGGACGAAAAUAUUUUAAGGAGUGGAGAUUGUAAUGUCCCGAAAAUUCAUAAAAUAGAAUUUAAGUUAUGUGUGCUAUAUUUUAAUAUUUCCAAAAGUUAGGGACUAAAAUGUAUAUAGCAAAUUUCAAUUUCAUUUGGGUUAAAAUGUAGAUAUUGACGGAGUAAUAAUUUGUAUAUGAAUAUUGGGCGCGUUGGAUAGAUCGUAAUUAAUCAUGCAUGUUAGGCUCAAGAAAAAGUUGAUUUGGAUAAUUUAAGCCUAAGAUAUUGACAUUUAAAGAAUUUGAUGUUUUAUAGUAUUUUAAUUAAUUUAAUGGGUAUUUGUCUUUGAGCCUUCCACUUGGUUAGUGUUAAAUCCAUCCUAAUCACAAAUAAUAUAUAUUAUAACUUUCCACCACUAGCCACGUUUCACGUUGAUAAGAAAUGUUUAACUGUCUUCCUAAAUUAUUUGGAUAAGUUUAUCAUUUGAAGCCUUUAUCCAAGUUUUUUGUGGCACACGUUUUCACCACUCUAGAAUUCUAUUUGCACCAAAAUACUCCACACAGCAUAUGUAUAUGUAGACGGCAGUUUCAAAUUGGGAAUUGUUUCCAGCAUAAAUAAUGAACAAAAAGGGUCCCGAAAGGCAGUUUUCACUCUAAGGCAGCCAAGAAAGAACUACAAGAUUUGGAACAUAAUUUUGGAUUUCUUCUUUCAAGAAUUUAUUCAAUCUUACGAUGUAGGAUUACGAUGUGCAAGUGGUUCGUCUCGUUUAAAUUAUUUAUUCAUGUUGAUAAAUGUUAUACUCAUAAAAGUUAUGAUAUGAUUAUGAUAUUUUGAAAUGGCAACCCGGUACCAAAGAGAUGAUAUGAUACGACAUGAGCUCUUACCGGUUCUAAAGAUAUGAUAUGAUGAUUAGAACGGGUCGUUUGUUGGCGAGCGGUGUGGUGGAAUUGUGAUGCCAGAAAUUAUGGAAUUCAAGAUAAAUAAAUUCUGAGUAACAUGAUUAGGAAGUUUUAUUUAUUUAUUUUUCUUUGCGUUAUUUCAAUUUUAUCAUCAUGUUAAAUUUGAAAUUUAAUGUUUGAAACAUGGUUCAGUUAAUUAUGUUUUCCAUAGAAUGUUUGACAUCAUUUAUUUAAUUACGAAAUAAAUGUUUUUGGUAACGAUUCCAAAUCUUUAAAUUUUGGAUCGUUACAGGCGAUGUCAUAGCAAGAGUAUUGAAGGCCAUUGUGCUUGGUGAUCCAUAAAAAUUUACAUAUGAAAGUAGCAAUGAGACAGGUCACAUGCACAUUAAAUGUCAGAAGUCAUAGGUCACACACAUACUACAUGUCUCAAUUCACAAAUGCAGUUACAAGUUACACAAUAGUUAGAGGUCAUAUAAAUAAAAAGUCACAGGUUACAAAUAUAAUACAAUUUAAAUAUCACAAACUCAUCAGAGUUCACAAAUUACAACUCACAAAGUAAUACAAGUCCAUAACAAAACAAAAGUGCAAGUGUCUAUUCAUUUAACAUAGAUCAAAUACAUUUAGCCCAUGUUUGAACCUUAUUUUUUUCAAACUCAUUUUCAAUCGCACAUUCUUUCAUAAAAUAAUUUUACACGUAUACCUAAAGCUUUUUUUUUACCACAUUUUCCCAAAUAAUCAUGGGAAAAUUGUAGCAGUUAUUUCUAAUCUUUCACUUUUUUUUUGCAAAUUUUACCAUAACAUUCAAUUUGUGCCACCCACAGUUCCAAACCUUUCAAAAAUAUACGCAUCGAAAUCGUUCAUUUGACCGUUAGUUGACCAAUAAAAUUAAGUUUUGACCAAUUUAAAAGGGUAAAAGAGUAAUUUUGCUAUUUUACCCUAUAAAACAAUUAAAAUAAAUAACUAAAACAAAAUAAAAAUAAAUAAAAGGAAAAAACUAUUCGCCUCUUUCUUCACCCCACCCAAAACCACCGCCCAAAUCCACUGAAACAAGACCUCCGCCUCAACUCUCCAAAUAGAGGUGACCCACUAGAGGUGAGCCAGUAGCUGUACUCGUUGCACUAUCAUUCUCCCUUUUCUCCGCUACGUGCACAAUGGCACUCUCCGUCUACACCACAGUAUAACUAAAUUUUCUACUCUUAUAUUCAUCGCCAAGGAUAUAAUAAUUUAUAUAUUCGCAUUUGUUUCGGAGUUCUCAGAAAUUGGAGAAGACGCCGAAAUCGUUCCUCUUUUAUUUUCUCUUCUUUUUCUUGCAGUUAGUGUGAGUGGGUGAUGAUGCUGGAGGGAAGGUCGAUCGAGGUUGGAGCAGGAAAAAGUGGAGAUGGUGGUGGACGAGAUGUCACUGUUUUCCAUGACGGAGAGUAUUUUGAAGGAGAAAUUGCGCUCUUCGGAUCUCAACCCUAUGGAUAGCGGUGUUCGACGGAGGCGAAGGUCUUGUUUAGGUGGAUUCGGCAAUGGGAUGGGGUUGGAGGUGAAUAGUUUUUUUCUUUUAUUUUUAUUUUGUUUUAAUUAUUUAUUUUGAUUGUUUUAUAGGGUUAAAUAGCAAAGUUGUCUUUUUAUCCUUUUAAAUUGGUAAAAAUUCAAUUUUAUUGGUCAACUAACGAUCAGAUGAACGGUUUCCAUCCAUUUGGAUUUCAAAUGCAUAUUUUUGAAAAAUUUGGGACUGUGAUUGGCAUAAAUUAAAAAUUAGAGUAAGGUUUGCAAAAAAUAAAAGGUUAGGGACCGCUGCUACAAUUUUCUCAAAAAUCAUUAGGCCAAAACCCAAAAAGGGGCCUCAAAUGAGGUUUAAACCAUAUUUGAUGGGCCUUUUUUUUAAUUUUUUUUUUUUUAAUAGUCGUUUUCAUUUACACAUUUACCCGUUAAAACAUAAUGCAAGUAAAUUCAAGACUUUUCUAUUUUUCAACCGCAUAUUUUUCAAAAUUUUACUAUUUAAUUUUUUAUUAUUAUUAUUUUAUUUAUAUAAUGGCCAUCAAUGGGAGCUUAGCGUUGUUUAGACGUUAUGAUGCUGGGAUCUCUUCGGUAGAGGAAGAAGAAGAUAAAACCGUGGAACUCUCGGGACUCCCAGGGAAAAGGGGACCUAAACCAGCUAAGAUACUCCGGUUUCUGUUCGUCGCUGAUGAAGGAAAAUCAAUGUUAAAUACAGCUAAGUUGGAUGGUGCAACGCCUAUUUUUCAAAACUAUUCUACUCAUGCCAAAGAUGCAGUUCUGGUCACAUUCCACAACUGGUUGACAGGGGAUUUAUUGAAUAUUUUUUAUGAGAUUUUUAUUUUCUCCAGUUCUUUUGUACCAUUAUUUAUUGCCUUAAAUCUUGUAUAUGCAGAAUUUGUUCAUCAAUUAUUGCAAUGAGUUGAUAGCUCUGCUUUGAGAAUCCAAGAAAUUCGUGGAAUUUUGAUUGUCAUUUUCGAGAGUUAAGCGACCCAUUUGAAAUUUAUUUAUUAUUAUUAUUUUUUUAAAACUCAUAAUAAGCUAAAAUUUUUGCACCCACGUCAAGGGUUUGCAAAUAAAGUUAGCGCCUUUGGUUCCUUGAAGCCUCAGAAUCAGGACGUUAGGUUUGAUUCGAAAAGAGAACAUAUAAAAUUGGGGAAAAGUGUUUGUGUUAACGCCAGUUCUAGUACCCUUUUGGAACUUGUGCCUGAAACCAGGAAAAUUUUGAAUUUGAGAUUCCCAUGUAUGAUCCUUCUAAGGGCCUUGUGGUGGAUCUAGCUGUUGUAGGUGGUGGCCCUGCAGGACUAGCGGUCGCACAGCAUGUUUCAGAAGCUGGGCUAUGAGUUUGCUCGAUUGAUCCUUUACCCAAAUUGAUAUGGCCCCAAUAAUUACGUUGUUUGGGUUGAUGAAUUUGAGGGCACGGAUUUGUUGGAUUGUCUUGACGCCUCCUGGUCGGGUGCUAUGGUUUUCAUUGACGACAAGACAACUAAAGAUCUUGAUAGACCUCGUGGGAGGCUAACAGGAACCAGCUGAAAUCGAAAAUGAUGUAGAAAUUCAUUUUGAAUGGCGUCAAAUUUCAUCAAGCUAAGAUUGUGAAAGUAACUCACUAGGAAUCAAAAUCUUUGUUGAUUUGCGAUGAUGGUGUUACCAUUCAGGCUGCUGCUGUGGUUCUUGAUGCGACCGGAUUUUCCAGAUGUCUUGCACAGUAUGAUAAGCCUUGUAUAGCUUACAGGAUUUGAGCAGAAGUGGAAGAACACCCUGUUGAUGUAAAUAAAAUGGUUUUCAUGGAUUGGAAUGACUCACAUCUCAACAAUAAUAAAGAGCUGAAGGAGAGAAAUAGCAAGAUUCCAACUUUUCUCUGUGCAACGCUAUUUUCAUCGAAAAGAAUAUUCCUUGAAGAAACAUCCCUUGUAGCUCGUCCUGGAGUUCCUGUGGAUGACACUUAAGGAAUGAAUGGUAGCUCGGCUGAGUCACUUAGGUAUAAAUAUUAGAAGCAUUGAAGAGGAAGAGCAUUGUGUAAUUCCAAUGGGGGGCCGUCUUCCAGUUUUACCUCAGAGAGUUGCUGGGAUUGGCAGUACAGCUGGGAUGGUGCACCCGUUGACUGGGUAUAUGGUGGCAAACUAUUGGCAAUGACUCUGGCCAAUAGAAAGUAGACGCCUAAGCGAAUUCUUUUGUUUUGGUAUGGACAUUCUUCUCAAGCUUGAUUUACAAGCCACCCGAAGGUCUUUUAAUGCUUUUUUCGACUUGAAACCUCGUCAUUGGCAUGGAUUCUUGUCACCUGGGCUAUUUCUUAUACAUCUCAUACUUUUCGGGCUCUCUUUUUGCUCAUUCCAACAAUACUUCUAGGAUAGAGAUCAUGGCAAAAGGCACUGCUCCUUCUGUAAAGAUAAAGACAGAGAGCCCACAAUUUUCAUCCCUGUAUGUCAACCCUAGGUGCGAUAUCUCUUUAUUGCUUUAACCUUUUAAGUAAAUGCAGUACGAGUUAGCUUCUUUUCAUCGCAUCUUUUUUGAGUUUCCUCUUUCUGAGUGAAGGAUUAUGUUGACUGAGCUUAUCAUUGUACAUAACUACAGAACAUAUAAUCAUAUCUUUCCAUACAGAAGUGUAAUUUUUUGUGCCAGUUAAGUCCAUCGGUAUCAUUUUAGUAAGCUGUUAAUUUCAUUUUCUCUGCCUGCUAUGUCUACUGGAUUUUCUCUACUUCAAAAUUUCGUCAUGUCUCUAUUAUCUCCAUACAAUCCUAAGUAUAAAAAGUGAAAAAUAAAAGAUGAACACAAGUUAGUAAGAAUAAAAAAGAAAAAGAAAAAGAAAAAAAAAAUACUCUCCCGGUCAGACUCAACUUGUUUUCCGGUGGACGUAUUUCUGCCUCAUCUCCAAGUUAAAUGCAACCCAAAUCAUGAAGCCUCUGGAAAUCUAAAACAUAUUUUUCCUUUUCUCCUUUUUCAUAGAACAGAUUCUCAUGAUUGUAGCAAUAAUCUGGUGUACAUUUGAAAACUACCAGACAACAUGGCAAGACAAUAAGCAAUCACCCAAAAAUUGGCUGUAGUCCUAGAAUAUUUCCGCUGUAGUCCUAGAAUAUUUCCUUUCCAAUGUUGUAAUUACUGAAACAUUGGCAUGUAUACUGUAUAUAUUGUCUUUCUCAACACUCGAUCAACUAAAAUUCUUUAGUAUUAUAAAACUCAUUUCACAGCUAUACUAAUUCUGCCAUAUGGAUAUACUUUUUAGUUACACUACACCUAGAAUUCUCUACCCGGAAGAUGGCAAGAGGCUUAAUAUCGUAAUUUAAGACAUUAAGGCUUGUUCAUUAUCAGACAGAAGAUCCUUGAAUUGACGAUCUCAGUACUCCAUUAUUCUCAACAUAUCCAUCCAUAAUGCUAUUGUAGUAUUGCCUUGUUUUUGUUUUUGUUUUUGUUUUUUUAAUGCAGUUAAAUCUUGCCCCUCACUUGAUUUAAUUUCUUGCUCCGCCUCUUGCAGGAUUAGUUACAGUAAAAAUCAAUGAUUAGGGAAUUAAACAAAUAGUCUGAUUAAACAUGCACAUCACAUACAAUACCACAAAAAUAGGAAUUUAUUUUGAUUGCUUUAAAUGGACAGUGACAUACUAAGUGGAGAGAAAUUUUAUCCUAGAAUCAAAUUGGGCUCGUCGGUUCAACUGGAAAAAAAAUGGAAAGUGAUCCAAAAUCUGGUCCCGUAGCAUGUAAUUUCCACAAGAUGAAAACUAUAAAAAACGGUAGUUUUAGGAAAUUUACAUGAGAGAAAGGAUGAUUCUUUUGAAUAAUUUGUUAAUAUCUUCAAUUAAAUGUUAUUCAUUACAACAACAUACGAGGAGUUCAUUAAGUACACAACAAAACCCAAAUGAAUAGUAAAAAAAAACCAACACACAAAAAAACCCAAACGAACAGUGUUAAAAAAAAAAAAAAAAAAAAAAAAUUUAAAAAAAAAAAAAAAAAAAAACAUUUGCAAAUGAAGAGCUUCUCCUUGUAGGAGAUGCUUGUCUCCUUAGGAUCGUGGAAAAGCAGAAAAAUAUGUCUGCCCCGUACUAAGGGCAAGGGCAAAAAUUGCACCUAGAAAGGCAAGGACGGUCCAAGGACUGCUGAAAUGUUUGUGCAUCGAUUCAGCUAUCCAAUACCGGCAUUUAUUCCUGCAAUACGUGUCAAUCUUCCCCUUAGCAUAUGCAUAUGCGUAAGGAUCAGGUACCAAACCAUCAGCUAUCUCGUUAAAGAGUGUGGCCAAGUGUUCGUCACUGCCUAGAUUGUUGACAAGAAUUCCCUUCUUUCGGAGCUCUUUAACAUCAUUGGCAUGAUCAAUGAGUGAAUCCAUUAGCCAAAUGUAUGACGUAAUGUGAGAAUCAUGAGGGCCAUUAGGACUCAUUUCAUAAGCCACUAAGUUUAAUAGCAAAGGUUUUGUUGUAUCAUCAACGAACAAAGGAGGGAGCAUCAUAGUUCCAUAAACAAGGUGAUCUUUGAACAUUACAUCAGUAACGCAAUGAGUUUUACUUGCUCUGAAACGAAUUCCCGCUUCUUCGAGCUCUGUUACUGAACGAUAGGAAUUCCAUUGAUCUGAUUCAUCCAUGGUUCCCUCUUUAUGAUUAGGCUUAGCUAGGCCGGCGAGAUGUUUACUCAUUAGGUCUAGAAGGUGAGGGCUUGCAUCCAAUUGUAAUUUUCUUUUGUCGUUUGUUUGACCACCAGGACAGUGGUCAUUGACAAACUUCUUGACCGCAUCACAGCAGCUUUUAUUGACAAAUUUCUUGACCGCAUCACAGCAGCUUUUAUUGACAAAUUUCUUGACCAAAUUAGUGCAUGAAGUUUUUUCAGGUGGCCUUGGGAAAAGGUCAAGGAAAUCCGAAAUCAACUCUGUAUUAUCUCCGAACCUGGAUUUCAACAAAACUUCUAGUACUAGUAAAGGAAUUUGAUUCUCUAGCAAGAACAAGUCCCUCCACACAAAAGCACUGAGGUAACUCUUCAUUGUGGGUAGUUGAUCUUCUUCUUUUGGUUUUAUCGUUGUUAAGAUGUACAUAUAUUGAAGCACAAAGCAGGCAUCAAGAAACAUCAUUUUGGUGAACGAUUCAUUGUCAUAGCAUGUAGUUGUGCCUUCCUCAUAGUAUUCUCGGGCACUGUCAGCCACCUUCGCCACCUCUGCAUAUAAUUGAUUGAUAGAUAUUUGAUCACCACAGGCAAGGCAGAAUUGAUUUGCAAAUUUAAAUUUUAGCUUCUCUACUGCUUCGAGCUCUGGAUUUCCAUGAUGAUAAGGGCCUAUUGAAACUACGAGAGGAACAUAACAUUUUUUGUUGGAUUCAACCUCACGCAGCAUUGAUGGAACCUUUUCUAUUCGCUGUUUCUUUGUUGUGUCUUCAACAUAGUUCUUUAUAUUGAUUAACCACUCAUCCACUCUAAUUUUGUUGCAAGCAUGAAAUUGCGUCUGCACAUAUUAUUAGGUUGGAAAUUUUGGUAAAGCGUCGUGUUUGUUGAUACUACAGUUUGAAUAAAUAUGAUAUUAUACAUUUGUACACGAAAAUGAUACACAUGUUAAGACUUAAUGAUAAAUGAACUUGAUGACAACAUCAAACAACCAACAUCAAGCAAUUAUCAGUGGCAUAUAGGCCAUCAACGUGGAGAUUUGAUGAUAGGAUGGUGAAAGUCGAACAAAAUAAAAUUUAUAGUCUUUCAUUAUUUAAAAUUAACAAGACAUUGGUUUCCUAUCAAGUAUAGAUACAAAUUUUACAUUAUAAAAUUGAUACCAAAUAUUUUACCAUAUCAAAAAGAUCGGGUUGAAUGUUUGGUAAAGCUUAGAUUUUCAUUUUUCAUUUUUUAUUUUGGUUACACAUGCUUUUAGUUCACACACACACACACACACACACACACACUUUUUUUUUUUUUUUUCAUAGAACCUAAAUUUAGGGUUGGCAACGGUUCGAUUGGGUCAAAAUCAUCACCGAACCACCAAAUUUUUGGUCUUACCAUUACUGCACCAUAACCACUUAAGUUAGAUCGAUCCGACUCGAUUCGUAUCUCAGGUCGGGCUGUUAAUAACCACAAAAUAAAUUAUUCUUUUAUAGGCCCAGCCAUCAAAUUGAAAAAAAAAAUUAUGAAAAAGAAAGUCAAUGAAAACAAAAACACAAUACUAAGUCAAUUAGCAAAAACAAUAGUCGAAACAAUGGGUAGAGCAAGUAGAGAUAAAGUUUCCACUUGGGAUGAACUAAAACUUUUUUUUGGGCCAACCUUUUUACUAUGCCCUACACAGACCUAUCUAUUUUCUAAAAUAAUUAACUUACAAAUAUGUACCAUCUUUCAUAUUGAGAAUUUAUGUGAAUGAACUAGAAUUUUGGUGGAGAAUUGUUACGUAUAUGAAAUUACAAUGAAAUUAGAUUUAGAAAUUGCCGAGACUUUUUGUAUCCCGUAUAUAUUAUUUUCUCGUUUAAAGGACUUAAUUUUAUAUAUAACACUCUCUUGAAAGAACAAUUUAUGAUUAUUUUUUGUGUAACACAGUAUUAAUUAAUAAGCAAUAAGGAUUAAGAUUAAUUAGCUAGUAGUAAAAUGUGCCUAUAUUAACAAUCGGACAUUAUGAUAACCAAUAAAAGACAAAAACGCAAAGUAAAAAAGUUUUAAGGAAAAUGUUACCAUUCGCUCCCAGGGUAAGCCUUGCAUUUUUAUGUUGUGCAUAGACUUGGAAAGUACAGUGUUGGAGUAAUAAGAAAAUUAUGUUUUGUUAUUGUAUGACAUAUGAAUUAGUCUUAUAUUUAUACAUGUCAUAAGAAGGGAAUCUCUUAGACAAACUUAAUUUUGUAAAUCACUUUAGAAAACUUCCUACUUAAUUUUGAGCAAAUGAUAAGCAUAGAAUAAUUUUACAUAGUAAAGAUUAUGCUUUUCAGAAUAAAAUUUUAUCUUUCCAGCCAUCCAGAGUUAUAAUUUUGUCUCUUCUUCCAUUAUAAUGUUUUCCUCUUUUGCUUCUCUUCUCCAUUUUUAGAGUAUGAUAUUGUAUACUCUUUGGUACAUUGUAAAGUCGAGCAAGAUUACAAACUCAAGAAAUAUUUAAUUUGACCAGAAGCACAAUGAGCUUAAGAUACAAUAUUUUGGUAACUUGUUAGUAGAGUUCACAAGAAAUUGUAACACGGCCGUAGAACAAAGGUUAGCACUUAGAGUUAACAAGUAAAUAAGUUCCAUUAAACUAUCUAAAAGGAUGUGACUUGAUCUCUCGAUGAGUUUCAGUAAAAUAUUAAAGUUCGACUUAAACAACAAAAAGAUGGUGUAUAUAAUAGAUUUACAAAAUGGUUUAUAUAUAGAUGAAAUGUCAAAAAGACGGUAGAGAAGUUUUUUUUUGUUGAAAAAAUUAUGAGCCAAUCAUAUUUCACUACAUCAUUUAUAUGUAAAUCAUUAUAUACAUAUAGCAUAAUCGUUGUAAAAGCGUCUUGUCAAAAUUCAUUUUAACUUGUAUCUCAUGCAAAUCCUAGUGUUAUAAUUGAUUACAAUCGUAUUAUAUACACUUUUACAUGUAUCUCGUGCGAAUCCUAGUGUUGUGUAUAACACAAAUAGAAUUAUUUUAAGCAACUUUAACAAGCUUGGAAUUGUAAUAUGAUUUGUUCCCACUUGGUGCCUUUUUUCUUUUUUUUCAUCAUCAUCACAAGUUUGGAAUAUUAACAUGCUAAACACAAGGAAUAAUCAAACACAACAGACACACCAAGCAAGGUGUGAAACUGCAAGUUAUUAAAAUAUCUUGAUAGAUUAGUGUUUUUUUUUUUUUUCAUUAUAAUCACUCUUUCGUAUUUUGUCAAGAUAAUAGAAAAUCGAGAUAUAUAAGAAUGAAAUUUUCAUUUAUCAAGUGGUGGAGAUUAGUGUCAACGUCUCAAACAUAGUGAAGUGAAGUAAACAAUAUCAUUUGUGCUCCUGUUUUUUUAUUCAAAACCAAAAUCGACAAUUAAUUUUAACCAAAUAUUGAUCCACAACUUUAUCAAUUUUUUAUUAAAAUUUACUAAAAAUAUGAUUUUAAUCCCUAUUAAAUAGGGGCUAUUUAUAUAUUAAAGAAGAAAAAGAGUUAUAAUCUUAUUAUAUAUUGCUUAAACAUAUUUAGUACUUCACGCCAACCAUGUUAUGCUAAAAUCUCACACAAGUACAGAGAAGCAUAAUAAGUAAUAAAUUGAUCUAAGAGUCCGAAUUAUCAUUUUCGCGAGGAUCUCAUAUUUUGCUUAAUAUUAACUUUAACUCAAAUAGCAAAAUUGUAUGGUGAUUAUGAUUGAAUAUUCAAACUCUAUGAACUAACUAAAUAUAAAGCGUUAAACUAAACCACAAAGCGUUUAUGAACAUUCUUUUAACUAAAAUCAAUAGGACCUCGAAAUUCCCUAUAUUCUUCCAUUUUAAUAUCAACCCAAGUAAUUGACAAUAAUUAUUUAGACUCGACGAUCAAUUUUUUUAUUUAAUAAACUCUCUUGAGUAAUGUUAAAUAUAUUUCCACAUAUAACCUUGUUAUAUUUGUACGAAGAGUGUGAAUAAAUGAAAAUGGAUUAAAGUUAAUUAAUCUCUCUUGAGUGAAUAAACGAAAUUCCCUAUAUUUGUACGAAGAAUGUGAAUAAAUGAAAUUCCCUAUAUUCUUCCCUUUUAAUGUCAAAUAUAUUUCCACAUAUAACCUUGUUAUAUUUGUACGAUCAAUUUUUUUAUUUAAUAAUCUCUCUUGAGUAAUGUUAAAUAUAUUUCCACAUACAACCAUGUCAUGCAAAACAUAUUGGUAUAUUUAUUUAUUUUUUGUCAGAUUGUUACUACUUACUACAAUUCCUAUUCCUUCCCUCAAGAAAAAGAAUCACGAAUUCAUUCAAUUAUUGAUCAAGUAACUGAAAGCAUUAAUAACCUAACAAUCAAUCAAGCUAAACAAAUAUUUAACAUCAAAGUAAAAUUAAUAUUAAAUUUCAAAAUAUAAUGUUCAUCGUCAUCAUAUUAUCUAUAAAAUUAGGCAAACAUCAUAAAAUUACAAAAACGUGUUUGGAAAUAGUAAGACUGUAAUGCCCCAAAACCUAUGCACCAGAGGUUACUUGAAUAAUCGCUUUAACCAUUAUAAAAGUUUAUUGACGCAUUAUAACAUAUAAAAAAAUUUGAAGAAACGUAGCGGAAUACACUAAACUAUUUUUUGUCUCAUAAAAAGUCACAUAAAUUUAAACCACUAAUGAAAUAUAAAUUUAGCACUUAUUUUUUAAAAAUUCAACAUUGAUUUAAAAAAAAAAUUCUAAUUUAACUAAAAAAAUGUUUUCUAGCUAUAUACUAAAUAUUAAAAGAAAAUCUUAAAUUCUUGAUCUAGCAACACGGACUCUGUCAGCGGUUUCAACUUCCAACUCCGAUCCAUCAAAUGUCUGUAAAAAUAAUUUAAAAUAUGGAAUGAGCAUAUGAAUAUACUCAGUAUAGAUUUCAUCUCAGUAUUUUCAUGAUUUAAUAUGAAAAGCAAGUAAAAUACUUACAUAACAUAACUUUUUUAGUAGGAUAAAAAACUGAUCGUCUCAUUCUCACUUAAAUCAUACUCAUUCUCAAUCUCCACUUAGGGUAUUUAACCAUGUGGCUGGUUUUCGUGUAGAUCUACAUAUUAGUGCCCCCAUGGUGUUUCCCACAACAUCUUUCUUUAGUUUGGAUCACAUAAUAGCACAUAAAAUACUUAGCUUAAAACAUUAAAAAGUGAAAACACAAAAUCACUCGGUAUUUAGAGAAAUUCAUACCUAUUCGUUAAAUUCCUUGUGUGCUUGAGCUAUUUAGGAUUGAAAAUUCUGGCGAACGAAUCUCAAACACGCCGAAAAAUUUUCUUUUCUUUUCUUUCCUUUCUCUCUCUUUCUUUCAUACGUUUUUUUUCUUUCUUUCUACCUCUCUAAAUUUGCAUGAAUUAAAGUGCACAAUAAGAGGAUAUUUAUAGGUGUGAUAAUGAUAAUGAUAUACUUCGAAUUUAAAUUGGACUCUCAACAAACAACCUUAUCAAAUAAAAUUUAAUUACAUGAGGAUAAUAUUCUAGUAUAAAUAUUUUAAAAUCCUAAAUUUAUCUAAACACCUUUAUAUUAAAUCAUCCGAUAAUAAUUCAACACAUAUCCAAACAUUAAAUUUUAAUUUCGUUAAAAAUCUUAUUUUCAUAGGUAUGAUAAAAUUCUAACCUUCUUUAAAUACUUUCAUAUCAGAUAAUUCAAUUAUAAUUUAAUAGAUGUCCCAAAUUUAAUUUUAUGUGAAACUCAUAUAAAUUCAAUUAUUAGGAAUAUUAACACAAGAUCCUAGAAAAUGGUUAAGUUGCUUAGUCACCCUAAAAUUUCAAAACGUAUAGUUAUCCCUCAUAAUAUAUUGUACAAAUAUUUUGGGUAUAACAUCCUCCUCUCUUUAAAAAAUUUCGUCCUACAAAUUUACCUUGGUUAUCAAAAACUUGUGAGUAUUUAGCUUUAAUAUCUACUGUCACACGUUUUAUGCAACAUGAUUUAUACUGCAAGUGUACGAUGUCAACUUUUGUAAUAUACUAUUAGAGUAAGAGUGUCGAACCCAUAUUGAUUGAUAUUUAAAUCAUUUUGAGUACUAUAAUUAUUUCAGCUUUCACUUUAUUUAGAAAAUCAAAAUUUAACACGAUGUUUUAUACUAAAUGAGAUGAACGAUGCAAGUAAAUAAGGGCAAUUUGAAAAGUUUCUUAUCAAAUUAUGAAUGCAUAGGGAGUGAUUUCACCGUACUAUCGACAAUGUUUUUCAACCGUUAUAACUAUUUCUAUCAAUGUUUCCAAAAUUUAUAGGCAAGAACACUAAAUUAAUUUCAUUUCCCUCUCGAGAGAGUCAAAUAGAAUCUAUUUCUAUAUUUUAAUUUCAAUAUCUCUAUUCCGAACUAAAACAUAAAAAUCAUCAAGCACUUUGUUCUUAAUUUAAACAAGCCUCAAAGAUAUCGCAUUUUCUCUCGAAACCUACAAAAUCUAGGUUAUGUUGUCUUAGAUCACACCUAAAUUUGUCUCUCUCGAGCACCGAAAUUUAAAGUAUCAAUCAUUCAAUUAGUGGCCAGUUAAUUGAAAGUAUUACACAAGAAUCAACAUAAAUAAAUAAGCAGAAAGAUUAAAUAAAAUAAUUAUAUCGGAAUCAAAACAUGUCUAAGGAUGUUACAUCAAACCCUAGAAUUAAUGUUUAGUUCAUGAUGGAAGAAUUAAAUCUAAAUAAAUUGAUGAAUAACAUAAAGAGAAAAAGAAAGAAAACCUCUUUUGAAGCUUUUAAUUGGAAAUUCCCUUGAUGUUCUUCAUGCCUCAUUGCCCUUGAUGAAUUGUCUUCAAUCUUGCCCCCUUCAAUUGUUGUGUUUGGCCCUCAUCUUCUUUUUCAAAAUAGGGUUUUUUGAAUGGUAUUUAUAGUAUGUUGGGAUCUUGGACGAAUUAGGGUUGGAUUGGGCCAAGAAAAGAUUCCAAAAAUAUAAAAGACGUGUUUUCCUGCACAUCCGGUGUCGAUAUGGGCACUGCGGCACCAGGCUUGCUGCUCAAAUUCAGAUUCAUGGGCACUGCAGCGCCCAGAUUGGGCGCCUCGGCGUUUGGUUCGGUCAGAAAUGACAGACUGCACACUUUUCAGUAUUUUUAACAUAACUUCUUUGUCCAAUGUCCGAUUGAGGUGAUUUAAGAUGCAUUGAAAAGUUAACUCAAAGAGCUACAAUUUUGAUUCAGACAUUAUUCUCCAACUCGAUCGUUUGAUUUGUCAAAAACAGGUCUCAAUGUGAGUCUAAAAUUCUGGAGCGUAACUUUUCGGUUGGAAAUUGAUUUGUGAUCAUAUUUUGCCUAAAUUUGAUCCCUUUGACAUCUUUCCUCAUGCAUUUGACUCCUAACACUCUCGGAUCUUUUUCGUGAGGUUCGUACAAGUUUUGAUUAUUUGCAUUUUAGUCCCUGAAAUUUGAAUCUCUUACAAAUUGGUCAUUUUUCUUCAAUUUCGCCAACUUUUGUUUAUUUCUUUCAAUUUCAUCAACCUGCAUCGCAAUACAAAAACACUCAUUAAAAUUAUCUAAAACACUCUCAAGGAUAGGAAAAUAACGAAUGACGUGGUACAAACAUAAUGAGUAUGGAGCACUCAUCAUCUACCUCAUGUUCCUAAGUGGACUUUUCCAUCGUGUGAUUCCGCCACUGAACUUUUACUAAUGGAAUUUUUCUAUUUUUGAAGUGUUCGAAUCUUCCUAUCCAAGAUGACGCUUGGAGUUUCCUCUUAAGUUAGAUCUGAAUGAAUGUCUAAUGGUUUAGGAUUAAUCACAUGGCCAAGAUCUGAUACGUAUUUUUGAAGCAUAGAGAUAUGAAAGACAUUGUGUACUGCUAAAAGUUCAGAAGGCAAUGCCAACUCGUAAGCCACAAUUCCCACACGUUUCAAAAUCUCAAGAGGUCCUAUGUAUCUUGGUUGGAGUUUUCCGCUUUUGCCAAAUUGAACAACUCUCUUCAUAGGAGUUAUUUUUGGGAAAACUUUGCUACCAACCUCGAACUCAAGAUCCUUCAUCCUAUUAUCUGCAUAACUUUUCUAUCGAUCUUGGGCAGUCUUUAUUCUAGCCCAAAUCUUCUCAAUAGCUUAAACUGUUCGCUCAAUAAUCUCAUGCCCUAGAAUUCUUCGCUCACCAAAUUCAUCGCAAUGAGUUGGAGAUCUACACCUUCUACCAUACAAAGCCUCAUAAUGAGUCAUUCAUAUAGUAGUUUGAUAGGUAUUAUUAUAGGCAAAUUCUACUAAUCGUAGAUGUUUUUCCAGUUUUCUCCAAGAUCUAGGACACAUGCUCGAAGCAUGUCUUCAAGAAUUUGAAUAGUCCUCUCUGACUGAACAUCUGACUGUGGAUGGAAAGCUAUCUAGAAGUUUAGCUUAGUCCACGUUUCCUUGUGCAUACUUUUCCAAAAUUUUGAAGUGAUCUCGGAUCUUUAUUUGACACAAUAGAGACGAGGGUCCCAUGUAAUCUAAUCACUUCUCUAACAUAUAAUGUAAGAAGUGAACAGACUUUGUCAAUCUAUCAAUAAUAACUCAGAUUGCAUCAUUUCCUCUAUUUGAUUUUGGAAAACCAAUUACAAAAUCCAUGGCAAUGUGCUCCCAUUUCCAUUCAUGAAUUUCUAGUGGGUUUAAUAAUCCUAACGGUCUUUGAUGUUCUGCUUUCACUUACUGGCAAAACAUGCACUUCUCUACAAUUAGACCUAUUCCUCUUUUCAUAUUUCGCCACCAGAAUGUGUGCUUUGAAGAUCUUUAUACAUCUUUGUUCCUCCAAGAUGUGCUGCAUAGGGGGCGAAGUGAGCUUUUUCUAAUAUUUCUUUUUGUAUUUUCUCAUCCUUCGGUACACGCAAUCUUUCUUUAAACAUCAAUGUAUUAUCUUCAGCUAGCUGAAAACCUUUUCGUUUGCCAGUGCCAACUUCACCUCUAAUCUUUUGUAGAAAUGGAUCACUAUCUUGAGCUUUCUUAAUUCGAUCUCGAAUAGUAGGUUGAACUGAAAGAGCAGCAAUUUGUGCUGCAAUAUCUACUGGAGGUAAGAUCACCUCAAGUCGUAAGUUAUCUAUAUCUUUGAUUAAUGAUUUCUGUGUAGUAGGUAUAGCUAUCAAAUGUCGUACCAUCUUUCUGCUUAAUGCAUCAGCCGCUACAUUGGCCUUUCCUAGAUGAUAAUGAAUGGCACAAUCAUAAUCUUUCACCAUUUCUAGCCAUCUGCAUUGUCUCAUAUUCAAUUCCUUUUGGGUGAAGAAGUACUUUAGGCUCUUGUGGUCCAUAUAAAUAUCACAUUUAGCUUUGUAGAGAUAGUGUUGUCAUAUCUUUAGUGCAUGAACUACUGCUGCUAACUCCAGGUCAGGCGUUGGAUAGUUUUCUUCAUAGGACUUUAGUUAUCUGGAAGCACAUGCGAUAACUUUACCAUGCUACAUAAGUACACAUCUUAGACCGUGUUUAGAAGCAUCGCUAUAGAUAACAAAGCCUUCUGACCCUUUAGGUAUGGUCAAAAUUGGAGCUGAGAUCAAUUUUUGUUUUAGUUCUUAAAAGCUCUAUUCGCACGUAUCCGUCCAUUGAAACUUCACAUUUUCUCCCGUUAAUUGAGCCAUUACGAUGGCAAUCUUUGAAAACCCUUCAAUAAAUCGCCUAUAGUAACGUGUUAAUCCUAAGAAGCUACGCACUUCUCUAACAUUAGUUGGUCGAGGCCAAUUGGUAAUUGUUUCUAAUUUACUCGGGUCAAUUUCAAUUUUUUGAAUUUAGCAUAGAGCUUCUCCUUCUUCAGUAUUUCGAGAAUAAUCCUUAGGCUGAAUGUUCAUGCUCACUCUUCGAAUAGAUUAGUAUAUCAUCAAUGAAGACGAUAACAAACUGAUCCAGAUAGUUAUGGAAGACUCAAUUCAUGAGAUCCAUAAAGGUAGCUGGCGCAUUUGUCAAGCCAAAGGGCAUCACCAAGAACUCAUAGUGUCCAUAUCGAGUUCUAAAUGCGAUUUUAGAAACGUUAGUUGCUUUAAUUUUCAACUGAUGAUAACCUGCUAUUAAAUCAAUUUUCGAGAAGACCUUGGCAUCUUGUAGCUAGUCAAAUAAAUCUUCAAUUCUAGGAAGGGAAUAUUUAUUUUUAAUUGUAAUAUGAUUCUACUCUCAAUAAUCGAUACACAUUCUCAUCGAUCCAUCCUUCUUCUUUAUGAACAAUAUUAGAGCUCCCCAUAGUGAGACACUAGGUCUAAUAAAAUGCUUGUCUAGCAACUCCUACAAUUGUACUUUCAAUUCUUGAAGUUGUACUGGUGCCAUACGAUAAGGAGCCUCCGAAAUUUGCGUGGCACUCGAUACAAGGUCAAUAGUGAACUCGACUUCUCGAUUUGAAGGCAUUCCAAGUAAAUUUUCUAGAAUACAUCUGAAAAAUUCCUAACCACUAAGACUUCAUCAAUGAUUAACUCUUUCUAAUCAGUGCUGGUCAAAGAUACUAAGAACCCUUAAGCUGACUUGUACAGCCUGCACCGCUGAUAUAAGUCGGGGUAGAGGUUUCACCCUUAUUCCAAAGAAGUGAAAUUCUUCUUCACCAAGUCGUUGAAAAAUUACAUCCUUUUCGAAACAACAAAUGGUUAAAUGAUUUUUCGACAAUCAGUCCAUUCCAAGUAUAACAUCAAAAUCUUUCAUACCUAGGACCACUAAAUCUAUUUUUAUAAUCUUUCCAUCCAUUUCUAAAUUUAGGUUCCUCGCCAUGUAAUUUGCAUUAAGCACAUUCUAUAUUUGACUUUGAAACGAAUAUUGAAGAAAUGAACAAGUGUGUUGCUCCUGAAUCAAUUAAUAUAAAAAUGGCAAAUCAGAGAUUGAUAUGAUACAUGUCAUUACAUUGCAGUCGAGCUCUACCUCUUUUUGUGUCAAAGCAAAAACUCUAGCCUUGCCCACCUUUUGAGCUUCAGCCUUCUUUGAAUGUCCCUCAAUGCAAUCUUUGGCGACGUAUCCUGGCUUGCCACAUCUGUAACAGAUACCCUUUCCUGCCAAGUAUUCUCAUUUUUGAAGUUUCUGACAUUUAGGACAAAGAGGUUAUAGAUCCUUGUCACGAAUAUUGGCAUCUGUUUCUGUCCUUCCUUUCUUGUUGGGGCCUUUUCCAUUCUUCUUGCUAUUGUUGCACCAUUUGUGCUUAUCUAAGUAGACAAUCUGUUGCUUACUACUUUUAUAAAUUUGGUCAUCAUCAAAGGUGUAUACUUGAGCCUUAUCCAAAAUUCCCUGAUAAGUACCUAGUUGGAAUACUGACACUGCUUUUCUAAUGUCAGUUCUUAGUCCACACUCAAAGUAUCAAGUUCGUCUCUCUUCUGUGUCCACCAGGUGUGGGGCAAAUCUGGAUAACUCCUCAAAUUCACAAUCGGUAAGCGUUAUGUUUCUCUGCUUCAGCUCAAGAAACUCUGCUUCCUUCUUAUCUCCUAAGGUAGCUGGAGUACUACCUCUUUGAACUGUGCCCAUGUAAGGUUACACUGUUGCUCCUCGGUGUAGGACCACCAAUGACCUGCUUACUUUUCCAUCAUAAAUAUUGCACAAAAGAUUUUUUGUCGGUCAGUACAUUCCAUAAAUCUAAAGAUAUGCUCAAGAUAGCAAAACCAUUCUUCAGCAACCAGUGGAUCGGGACCACCUUCAAACACAAGUGGGUGCAGCUUGCGAAACUAUUUUUAUAAUUGAAGAUUUUCGCGGCCUGCCUCGUAGCUGUUGAGGUGUUGCUGUUGCGACAUCUCUCACAUAGUAGCCAGUAAUUCUCAUGCUAAGUUAGCUACCAUCUAAACCUUAAAUGUGGGGAUCGUAUAUUAGACGAUAAUCAAGUCAAUUCAACUAUCUUGGUAUAGCUGACGACGAUAAAAUAACGUUUCUGUUCACUAUAUUCUCAUUGUUUCUACUAAGAUUUGACUAAAUGGACUUUAUAUAUAUUAGUCUUCUUGUGGGUUUGCAAUAUUGUUUUUCGUUUUAUUGAUUGAAUAACAAGCAACUGAAAAGACUUCCAGGUAAGGAGAGGGGGACACAAGUGGGCCGCUUAAAUCACAAGCUAACCUUAGACAGUUUAAUCCUUUUUGACAAAGCCUUUUAGUCUUGUGAAUAUGCAAAUCAAGAAAACUCAAACAAUAAACUUCCCCGUUAGUAUUAUUAUUAUUAUUAUUAUUAUUAUUAUUAUUAUUAUUAUUAUUGUCAUUUGAUUUGAAAAUAACCGAACUAAUGUCAAUCUAAAUGCAUUCAUGUAGUUCAUAACUAAAUAUAUCCACUCAAAAGAUAUACACAUGACGUAGCUAUUACUACAGGAAAAUAUAAACAUGUGAUUCUACAAUAAGUGUUACAUAUAAAGCAGCUUUAUCUAAUUUAUUAAAAUUUCAACAUCCAAUAUCAUAAUCAUAAUUUUUUUUGCACUGUAAAAAAAAUCCAAAGCUCAUUAUACAGACAUUUAAAGCUAAUAAAAUGAUUUCAUACCUUAGAUCAUCAGUAUAUUUAUCUAAACACCUUUAUAUUAAAUCAUCCGAUAAUAAUUCAAUAUAUUUCCAAACAUUAAAUUCUAAUUUCGUUAAAAAUCUUAUUUUCAAGUUAUAAUAUGAUAAAAUUCUAAACUUAUAUAAAUACUUUCAUAUCAGAUAAUUCAAUAGUAAUUUAAUAGAUAUCCCAAAUCUAAUUUUAUGGGAAACUCAUAUAUAUCCAAUUAUUAGAAAUAUUAACGCAAGAUCCUAGUAAAUGGUUAAGUUACUAUGUCACCCUAAAAUUUCAAACAGCGCAUGUUAACAUAUAUAUAGUUGAAUAUAUUUGGGAGUUAUUUUUAGGGAUUAUAUUUAUCUAGUUUUCUUAUAUAUUAAAUGACUACACACACACACAAAAUAGAGAACACAAUGAAAGAAAUUUUUUUGCAAAAAUUAUCUCAAAUGGUCGGUCCCUUUUGGUCAUGGUAUCAGAGCUGGGGAAAGAGUUCUAAAGCAUUGCCUUCAUCUUCCUGUUCGACGUGUUGGUUGCCAGUUGUUGGUGGCUGUGUGGUUUCCAGCCCUUGGUUUGCAUUUUUUUCCGAUUCCGGUGCCAUUGUUUGUUGUUCUCUCUCGAAUCGUCCCAUUGGGUUCUCUCCUGUCAGCACGAACCCUCUGUUUCGAUCUUGGUGACGUCACUGUCUAAUUUCGCUCGUAUCUUUGCGUCUCUCAGGUUCCAACAACAUUGGUGGCGGCUUUUCCAGCGAAUUUUGGUUAGUUUUUACAGCUGGUGUCUUAGGUCACCAUCGUCCUUUCUUCCGAUCGAGAGAUUGUGAUGGUGAGAGCGUGUUUUUGGGUACCGAGUGCAUUUUCUUUGGUUUAAGGUAGGCGUUUACUGUUUAGGCCUUGUUUGAUUGGGCCUUCUUUUGGUUUUAAUUUGUUUGAUUGGGCUCUCAUCCGAUUGAGUAUUUACUUCAGUCAUAUUUUAGUUGGAUAAUUUGCUUCAUCAUGUCAUCAGAUAAAUUAGAAUUCUUUCCCGUUCGUUUUAAUGGCAAAAAUUACUUAGCUUGGGAAUUUCAAUUUCAAUUAUUUGUCAAAGGUAAGGAGUUAUGGGGUCAUCUUGAUGGCAGUGAUCCCGCCUCUAAAGAUGUAGAAACUUUGUCCAAAUGGAAAACCAAGGAUGCUCGGGUUAUGACCUAAAUCCUUAGUUCAAUUGAACCUCACCUUAUUCUCAAUCUGAGACCUUCUAAAACUGCUGCUAUGUAGGAUUGCCUUAGUAAUCCCACAUAAACAAGACAACACAACUAGAUGUUUUCAAUUAGAGUAUGUGAUGACACAAGGAAGUCUCUUGAUUGAAGAAUAUUUUUCAGGUUUUCAAAACCUUUAGGCUGAAUAUUCAUAUAUAAUUUAUGCUAAUGUUGCCGCUGAAGCUUUAUCGACUGUUCAGAAAAUGCAUGAGACAAGCAAAAGGGGUUAAUUCUUGAUGACGCUAUGUCCUGAUUUUGAGGUUGCUUGGUCUAAUCUGAUGAAUCGUCAUCCUGUAUCAUCAUUGGAUACUUGUUUGGGUGAACUUCUUCGUGAGGAGCAACGUAUAGUUACUCAGGCUACCAUGGAAUAUAGGGAUACUAUUAGUACUCUUGUUACUAUGAUUAUGCAGCACAAGAAAGGAAUUACAGUCGAGACAUGUGUGCUGUCCAGUGUUAUAACUAUAAAGCUUUUGGUUACAUUGCUCAAGAUUGUCCUAAGAAAUAUUGUAAUUACUGCAAGAAACAAGGUCAUCACAUAUCUGUUUGUCCCAUUCGACCAGAAAAGAAGCAUACUAAUGUCUAUCAUGCCUCUAUCGAUGCCUCUAGCCUUGUACAUUGUUCCUAAUCCUGCUUCUGCAUCCACCCUUACUCCUGAAAGGGUACAACAGAUGAUCAAUUCUUUUUUCUCUGCUUUUGAACUUUCAGGUACUCAUUCAACCUCUUCUAAGCUAUGGUUCUUUAACUCUAGAGCCUCUAACCAUAUGACCAAUAAUGUUAUUCCUCUGUCCAAUGUAAGAUAAUAUGAUGGGAAUCUAAAAAUUCACACCGCCAAUGGUAGUUCUAUGCCUAUCAGUGCUGUUGGUGACCUUUCUGCUUCUUUAACUAAUGUUUUUGUGUCUCCCAGCCUUUCUACAAAUUUAAUCUCGAUUUGUCAAUUAGUUGAUAACAAUUAUGAUGUUUAUUUUUCUCGUUCUGGUCAUGUUGUGCAAGAUUCGAUGUCCGAGAAGAUGAUCGCGAAGGGGUCUAAAGUCGGACGACUCUUUCCCUUGCAUAUUUAUCCUUUUCCUAGUACUCAUUUACUUUUAUUUGCAUGUAAUGUUGUUAGUACUGAUAAUAAGUUGUGGCAUAAACGUUUAGGCCACCCGAACUCUGAUGUACUUCGUAUUUUAUUUCCUUCUAAUUUAUUAGGUAAUAAAGGAUGUUCUUCUGAUCAUUUUUUUUAUUAUACUGCAUGCAAAAUUUUGCAAAAGUAAAAUUCUACCAUUUUCCUAUCAUGGAUCUCGUGCCUCACAAUGUUUUGAUAUUGUUCAUAGUGAUGUUUGGGGGAUUUCACCUAUUAUUUCUCAUGCAUGUUAUAAGUACUUUGUUAUAUUCAUAAUGAUUUUAGUCAUUUUACUUGAGUUUAUUUUUUAAGAGCCAAAGUCGAGGUCUUUUCAGUUUUUAAGCGUUUUCUUGCUCUCAUUGAAACUCAAUUUUCUAGUGACAUAAAGAUCUUACAAUCUGAUUUUGGGAGAGAAUACAUGUCAAAUGAGUUUCAGAACUUUCACCAAAUCAAAAGUAUCAUAUCCCAACAUUCUUGUCCUUGAUGCCGUAGCAAAACAGUGUUGUUGAGAGAAAGAAUCGUCACCUUCUAAAUAUAGCAAGAACGCUUUUAUUUAAAGCAUCCAUUCCCUCUCGAUUAUGGUGUAAAGCACUUUCCACAUCAGUUCAUUUAAUUAAUCGUUUACCCUCUUCUAUUUUAAAUCAUGCUCCUCCUUACUUUAGGUUGCUUGGACAUUUACCAUCAUAUUCUGAUCUACGUAAUUUUGGUUGUGUUUGUUUUGUACAUCUUCCUAUUCGUGAGCGACAUAAAAAACUUACUGCUCAGUUUGUUAAGUGUGCUUUUCUUAGCUAUGUUGUCUCUCAAAAGGGUUAUGUUUGCUUUGAUCCUCAUGCUUAACGUAUCCAUAUUUCUAGGAAUAUGGUUUUCUUUGAAAACCAGUAUUUUUUUUCAUCUCAUGUUGAGCUGCCCUCUACAUCUUUAUCUAUUCUACCUAACUUUUUUUAUUCCCCAAAUGUUGUAACAUGAUUUAAACUAGGACUUGAGUAUGAACGACGUAAUCGUAAGUUUAGCGCCAUUUUUUCUGUGCCCCUUUCAAGAUCUCGACCUGGCUCCAAAUCUUGCUACAACUCCCAUAUGUCUUCGUCGAUCUAUACAUCCUUCUCGUCCACCUGAUCAGUAUGAUUUCUCCUCUCCUAUCUCUCUUGUAGUUACUUUAUCUGCUAUUUUCAGUCCCACUUGUUACAAAGAGCCCAUGGAACAUGAGUAUUGACAAAGGGCAAUGUAAGCAGAACUUCAGGCACUUGAGGAGAAUCAUACUUGGAACGUUGUACCUUGUCCUCCUCAUGUGAACCCUAUUGGAUGUAAAUGGGUUUUCUCUAUAAAACUUCAUUCUGAUGACUCUGUGGAUAAGUAUAAAGCUCGUCUUGUAGCUCUAGGUAACAGACAGAUAUUUGGGGUUGACUAUGAUGAGGCCUUUACUGUUGUUGCCAAAAUGACCACAAUUAGAACAAUCUUAGUGGUUGCUGCCUCCCAGUCAUGGAAAUUCAUCAGUUGAUGUGAAGAACGCCUUUCAUUAUAGCGAUCUUCACGAAGAGAUUUAUAUGAAGCUUCCCUCUGGUAUGACUACUUCAUCUUAUCAUAAUAUGUGUAGACUACAAUGUUCUCUUAAAGCCUCAAGUAGGGCGCCGAGCUUGGUUUGAAAAGUUUCGUACCACACUCAUUACCUUCAGUUUUACACAGAGUCAGUAUGAUUCUUCUCUCUUCUUCCACAAGUCUGCCUCGGGUAUUGUACUUCUUUUGAUUUACGUGGAUGAUAUUAUCAUCAUUGGCACUUAUUGUGGUUUCAUUUUGAAGCUUCAACGAUUAUUGCAUGCCACUUUUCAUAUAAAAUAUAUUGGUCAGCUCAUAUACUUCAUGGGACUGGAAGUUCAUCAUCGGCCUAAUGGUAUUUUCUUAAACCAGCAUAAAAUAUUCAGGAUCUUAUUGCGUUGGCUGGGAUGGACGAGUCUUCUUCUGUGGAUACUCCUAUGGAAGUCAAUGUAAAAUACUAGAAAGACGAAGGGUAUCUUUUAGACGAUCCAACUUUAUAUCGUCGCCUCGUUGGGAGUCUUAUCUAUUUGACUACCACUCAUCCAAAUAUCUCCUAUGUCGUCCAUCAGGUUAGCCAGUUUAUGUCUUUUCCUCGACAUCUUCAUCUUGCAGCUGUUCGUCGUAUUGUUCGCUAUCUUCGUGGAUCACCUACUCGUGGGUUGUUCUUUCCUAAAGGGUCUUCUUUUCACUUUUUGGCCUACAAUGAUGCUGAUUGGGCUGGAUGUUCGGAUAUGCAUCGUUCUACUACGGGUUGGUGUACAUUUUUGGGUGAUGCAAUGAUCUCUUGGAAAUGUAAGAAACAGGAUUGUGUUUCUAAACCAUCUACUGAGGUGAGUAUUGUGCUAUGUCCAUAGCUUGUUUAUAUAUUAUUUGGUUACGUGGUCUUCUGGAGGAACUUGGGUUUUCUCAAACUUACCCUACUCCCCUUCAUGCCGAGAACACUAAUGCUCUUCAGAUUGCAAGCAAUUCUGUAUUUCAUGUUGCAUCAAGUACAUUGAGGUUGAUUGUCACUUUAUUCGUGAUACUUUGAUGGAUCGAGUGAUAUCUCUUCCCUACAUUUCUUCUGAUCUCCAAGUGGCAGAUGUGUUCACCAAAGCACUAACUCGACUGCGGCAUCAAUUCCUUGUUGGCAAAUUGUUGCUGGUUGACCUCCUAACAUCAAUUUGAGGGGGGAUGUUACCGUAUAUAUAGUUGGAUAUAUUUGGCAAUUAGAUUAUUUUUAGGGAUUAUAUUUAUUUAGUUUCCUUAUACAUUAAAUGACUGUACAUAUAUAUACACAAUAGAGAACACAAUGAAAGAAAAGUUUUUGCAGAAAUUAUCUCAAUUGUUCGGUCACUUUUUGUCAGUGUAGUUAUGCCUCAUAAUAUAUUGUACAAAUUUUUUGGGUAUUACAGAGACACUAAGACAUCACCUGAAUUUCAAUUUAUAGUUCCAAGAUUAUUUUAAAUUGUGGACGAAUCACAAUAUUCCAUGUAGAAGUCGACUUAAAUUAGGCAACAUUUCUUUUCUGUAAGUAUUCACCUUGAACACUGGCAAUAAAUUUUCUCUUCUCGUGUGCGUAUAGUAUAAACCCUGCCAUCACGUGGUUUAAUGCUUUCCUUCCCGUUCAAGUUAGUCCCUAAAUUUUCCUAUUGGUUUAGCUCGAGUCCUUUCCUAUUUACAUUAUGAAUCCUUCAUCUUUCAAUUAUAAAAUAACUUAAUCCCCAUAUUCCGUAAUUUGUUCUUUUUUAGUCGUUAUCAAUCGAUUACGUUCCCUUUCUUCAUAUAUCAUCCAACAUCAGAUUUUUCUUAAAAUAAUCAAUAUACAACCAAAAUUAAGUAUUGAAGCAAUACAAGUACUCCCAAACGUCCAUUUUCAAUGUCAAGAUAUGUUAGACUUAUCACAAGUCAUUAAUUAGAGACUAUAUUCAACAAAAUGGGGAGUAAAUCAUUCCUUUAAAUUUAACUUGUAACGGCAAAAAAUUUUUCUUUGAGAAUUUUAUUAACAGCCUCUUUUCAAUGAAAAAAACGAAAAAGUAGAUUUUUUUUCUAAUGUGUACUUACAUAUAUUCCUUUAAAUAGAACCGUAAAUAAUACAUGACUAUGUUUUGUGGUUGAAGCGUUCAAAGUAACUUCUAUACUAUCAAAUUAAAUAAUUUUUUUUUCACGUUAUAGAAAAUAUUAACCUUUUCAAAUAUGUUUAAAAACUUGGCAAGAGUAAUCGACAACGGGCUCCCCCACAAAAGGUACUAGUCGUGUGCAUUAUAUCACUGAAGGGUCAAUGACAGUCAAGUGUUCGUUGAGGGUUCGAACGAUGACAACCUUUUGUCAUUAUUAGUAGGGACCAUGUUAUAUAUACAUAAUUUUUUUAUUUAAUCAUUUACCUACUACUCACAAAAGGAGGUGGGGCUACAUUUGAAAAUUUUUAUAUUCACGCGGGGCCUGCAUGCAUUGUGAGAGGAGGACAACUUUCGGUACAAAUGAACUUGUCCCAUUUAGUAGUUUCUACUACAAUUUGCAACGAUGAUGAUAGGAAUUGGAUUGAGAAUAACAAAAAAAAUAUUAGUAUGUAGUUGAAGAGUAGCAUGAGGAGUUGAGAAAGGUAAAAAAGAUAAAGAUAUGACGAUGAUAGGAAAAUUUUUAAAUAAUAUUACACACUAAUCCAACGACCCGAUAGUAUGGCUAGAUUCAUGACUGAAUCGAUUCUCACAACUAUACAUAAGUUUAUACAAUACAGUGGACGGAUGAAUGUCCUAUAAGGGAUGUUCUAAGUAUACUCUCCUUACAACGUGUAAGUAAAUUCAAAUUACAAAACCAAUUUUGCUUUUGUUUUUAUGAUGCAUGGCCCAUUGAAAUUUGUUGACGACGAUAAGAUGCCAAGUUCAAGUCUCCUAUUUUUCUUUGGCAACUUAGUUAAAAUUGUUUACAAACUCAAACUUUGUAUAAAUACCGUUCAACAUUUUUUUUCUAUAAUAGUUUAUGAAAUGGUAGAGUCAAAAUAUUUUCAACAUCGAAACUCUUUUUAUGUCUUCAAAGUUUGUAGAAAUUUGCAAACAAAAUGUGUAAGACUAGUUGACUAGCCGGAAAAAUAUGGAAGGUUGGUUGGCUGAAGGCACUUUGAUGCUUAAGUUAAUUUUGUUUAUGUAGAAAAAUCUAAAAUCAAGUCGAGUUUUAGUAAAAUGUGUCCCCAUGUUUAUAAUAUAUUGGAGUUUCUGAAUUAAGAAAAGGAGUCAAUAGAAUCAUUGUUCUUAACUUAAACUCUAUACGCCAAGCAAUUGAGAUAUUGAGUUUCACGCUUAUAGUUUUAAGCUUUAUCGGCGGCUUCAGAACAAGCAUUGACCUCAAUAACAUGAAAUGUGUGAAAAUACAUUAUUAACUUUGAGUUCGAUUUUAAUCAGCUUUUUAUAACUGAACCAAAGUGGGGCUAUAAUGUUGUGGCGAAAAUAAAAUAAUGCCAGAAAAUAAAAAACAAAUUACGUUGUAAAUCGAGGUAGGCCACUGCCGGAAGGGAAAUUGAACACGCCCAUCUCACUAGGAUUGGUCAAAAUUGAAGAAGCUUCAGUGUUCAUGCCUUUUUUCCUUGCAUCCCAAGUAGAACCUAUAUAUAUACAAUCCUGUCGAUCAUUGAGAUAUAUACAUAUACAUAUACACACCAAAUGGCAGAUUUGUUUAUUGAGCAGGCAAAGCAAUAUUCAGAGAGAAGGCCCAGUUAUCCACAGGAAUUGUUCCUAUUCAUUGCAUCAAAAACUCCAUCUCACGAUCUCGUUUGGGAUGUUGGCACUGGAAGUGGCCAGGCUGCAGCAUCUGUGAGUCUUUCUCCUUGAACUGCAAAAUUUUGAGCUAAUUUUGUGUUUUCUUCACAAAUUAUGAUCCGGGACUUAGGUUUUAAGCCCUAAUCUCAAUUACUCGAUAUGAUGGUAAAAAUCUCGAUUUCAUUGUAUAUUGUAGUAGAAAAAGAGACACUUCAAGUGGGUUCAGAAUUUAUUUAAAGAAUUAAGACUCAGUUAAAUUAUAUAUCGACCUAAUAUGAACCUCUGUAUUGUUUUUCAGUUAGCAAAGAUCUACAAGAAUGUGGUGGGCACAGACACAAGCCAAAAGCAACUUGAUUUUGCUGCCAAACUUCCAAAUGUGAGAUACCUUUGUACACCUCCCAAAAUGCCCAUUUCUGAGAUUGAACACACCAUUGCACUACAAUCCAGUGUUGAUUUAGUGACCAUUGCUCAAGCCAUGCACUGGUUUGAUCUUCCCACUUUCUACCAACAAGUGAAAUGGAUACUGAAGAAACCCA